CAGAGGCAGGUUCUAUCUUCAAAUUCUUUCAUUCCAUGAUUCAAAUUGAUGUAGGACAACCCUAGGAUGGUUGCCUACAUUCAAGGGUAGGAAGGCUAGGGUUUUAUUUUUAGGGUGUAAGGAGAGGAACAAGGAAUAAAUUUUAUGGUAGAGAAAAUUAUAAGAUAAGAAAUAGAGAGAAAGAAGAAAGAAUGAAGAAAAUAUGGAAAACCUUAGAGUCUCACUAAGGCCUUCUAGGAGUCUCACCUAGAAGAAAAUCAAUGGAGUCUCACCAUUGAGGGUUGCAACCUUGCAAUGAAAGAAAGUAUAAUAUUAUUCAUCAAAUUCAUUCAUUUGAUUUACAUUGACUAGCCUAUUUAUAGGCUUCUUUAAAAAAUCCAAAGUCUACUAGGACUCUAAUAACCUAUUAUGACUCAAAUUCUAAUUAUAUUAUAACUCAACUAGCUGAUCCUAAUUAGACUCCAACAAAUACCAAUCCUAAUUCAAUUCUAAUUAAUAUUAAUCAUACUUAAAGUUUACUUAGGUCUUCCCUUUCUUCCUUGAAUAAACUUUAAAAGGCUUUCCCCCAUCAAUUCUCCCCGGCUUGAAAGAACUCAGCUCCGACGAGUUAGACGCUUGAUACAAUUCAUAAAGAUCGGGGUUAAGCCUCUGAAAAUCCAUUGUCAUAAUCCAUGUAUUCUCAGAGUGUGGUUUGCCUCGCCAUUUUACUAAAAAAAUUUGGCAUCCACCUUGUCGAGUAGACACAAGUUGAUCAUCAAGAACAUACUCGAUCUCAGGACGUGGGCUAAGAGUAGGUGGUAAUUGAAGAUCCAACUCUUCACUUACAUCGUUGUGAUGGCCAUGGUAGAUGUACAAAUCUUCCACAUUAAAUAUUGGACUAAAAUGCAAGUUUGAAGGGAGCUUUAACAAAUAAGCAUUCUCACCCAACCGCUUUAGUACCUGAAAUGGACCUGCUUUCUUAGCUUGAAGCUUUUGAUAUGUGCUCGAAUGAAAUCUUUCUAGUCGUAAACGAACCAUCACUAGAUCACCUUCUUGAAACUGAAUAUAUCUUCGAUGUGCAUCUGCUGCAUCUUUAUAGUUCUCAUUGCUGACUUUGAUUUUUCUCGUACCUUUUCAUGUAUAUCUCGUAUAUGACGUGCAAAUGCAUCACCAUCUUGGCUGGUGCGGACAAAAGUUGGUAAUGGUAUAAGAUCAACAGGUUGCUUAGGUUUCAACCCAUAUGCCACUUCAAAAGGUGAGUACCCAGUAGUACGAUUAGUGGAGCUAUUGAAAGCAAAUUCGGCUUGUGGUAAGACAUUAUCCCAAUUUCUCAACUGAUCUCUCACAAUGCAUUUCAAAAGAUUACCAAGACUGCGAUUGACAACUUCUGUUUGUCCAUCAGUUUGAGGAUGAAAAGAACUUGAAAAUUUUAAUUGAGUACCUAGCUUGGCCCAUAAGGUUUUCCAAAAAUAGCUCAUAAACUUGACAUCGCGAUCAGAAACAAUGGAUUGUGGUAAUGCAUGCAAUCGAACUACUUCUUUAAAGAAUAAGGCAGCAACAUAAGAAGCAUCCGAAGCCUUCUUACAUGGGAUAAAAUGUGUCAUUUUGGAAAAUCUAUCAACCACAACAAAUAUAGAAUCAAAGCCCCGUUGUGUCCUUGGUAAUCCAAGUACAAAAUCCAUGCUCAAGUCUUCCCAAGGUUUGGAAGGAACUGGUAAUGGCGUAUAUAACCCCGUAUUUUGCUCAGAACCUUUUCCUACUUGACAUGCUCGACAUUGUUUGAUAACCUUCCAAACAUCCUUCUUUAAAUUAGGCCAAAAGAAGCGAUCUUCCACCAAAGCAAUGGUCUUAUCUCGUCCAAAAUGUCCACCCAUUCCGCCUCCAUGAAGUUCCCAUAUGACAUGAUCACGUAGAGAAGUCCUUGGCAAGCAUAAACGAUUUUUAUAAAACAAGUACCCUUCUAAAAUCUGGAAAUCAAUACAUGUUGCUUUUGAACCACUCAAAAGAGAGGAAUAAACAUCUCCAAAAUCAGCAUCAUUGUCAUAGCAAUGCUUUAAUUCUUCAAAUCUAAUUGUAGUGGUUGACAUGUUUACUAAGAGAAGGGUCUUCCUACUAAGGGCAUCAACUACUUUAUUUUCAAUUCCUCCACAAUGCUUUAAAUUAAAGGUAAACAAUUGAAGAAAACUACUCCAUUUUGCAUGUCGAGAGUUAAGCUUCUUUUGAGAAUUAAGAUAUCGCAAGGCUUCAUGAUCUGAAUACAAAACAAAUUCCUUGUAACUAAGAUAAUGUUGCCAAUGCCUAAUUGCUUACACCACCGCCGCAUAGAAUUCAAGAUCAUAUGUGGAGUAUUUUUUCUUUGCCCCAUUGAGCUUCUCGCCAAAGAAAGCCACAGGAUGUCCCUCUUGGCUAAGAACUGCUCCAAUUCCCACAUGGGAAGCAUCACAGGCCACCUCAAAUACUUUCUCAAAGUCUGGUAGACGUAGGAUAGGAGGGUUCACCAUCUUGGAUUUGAUUUCUUCAAAUGCCUUGUUGGCCACCUUGGUCCAAAUAAAUAAACCAGGUUUCAUGCAUUCAGUAAUUGGGGCCAUAAUGGAGCCAAAAUUUCGAAUAAAUCGUCGAUAGAAUGUAGCCAUUCCAUGGAAGCUUCGCACCUCAUGGAUAUUUGUUGGUACUGGCCAAUCAACAAUAGCUUUGAUCUUCUCUGGAUUUGUUUCAACACCCUUAGAAGACACAACAAAGCCAAGAAAUACAACACUAGGGCUCAUGAAAGUACAUUUUUUCAAAUUAAUGUAAAACUUUUCAGACCUAAGAGUGCGCAUUACUUGCUUCAAGUGUUCCUCAUGAUCUUCACAAGAUCAAUUAUAGAUAAGAAUAUCAUCAAAAUAGACAACAAAAAACUGUUUAAUAAAAGGUAUUAAUACGUGCGUCAUAAUCCACAUGAAGGUACUUGGAGCAUUGGUUAGUCCAAACGGCAUGACUAACACCUCAUACAAUCCAUCCUUAGUUUUGAAAGAUGUCUUCCAUUCAUCUCCUAGUCUAAUACGUAUUUGAUGAUAUCCACUUCUUAGAUCAAUCUUUGAGAAGAUUACUGAUCCAACCAUCAUAUCUAGCAUGUCAUCAAGUCUUGGAAUUGGAAAUCGAUACUUGAUUGUGAUUUUGUUGAUUGCACAACUAUUCACACACAUCCGCCAUGAUCCAUCCUUCUUUGGUGUUAGUAAGGCAGGAACUCCACAAGGACUUAGGCUUUCACGAAUAAAGUCUUUAGUAAGUAAUUCAUCAACUUGCCUUUUCAAUUCAGCAUGCUCUGUUGGAUUCAUUCUGUAGGCUGGUAAAUUUGGUAAUGAUGCACCGGGAAUCAAAUCAAUGGCAUGUUGUACAUCACGCAUAGGAGGGAGUUGAUUAGGUAACUCUGCAGGCCACAAGUCAGAAAAGUCAUCAAGGAUUUUACGUACGUUUGCUGAAUAUUCCUUAUCUUGUUCUUUAAAUUCUUCCACUUUCCAAGCCAUUAAAGCAAAAAUAACUUUAGUUUCCUUGCUCUCGUUUUCAAAUUGACACAUAGUAAGUACCUUUUUUGGUUGUGCAUUCUCAUCUGACUUCUUAAUUAGAGGGACUUCUUUCAUUAGACGAAGGAUCUUCUUACGUCCGUUGUGUAUGAGAGCAUAUGUAUUUUCAUAACCGUCAUGUUGAACUCUUUUAUCAAAGAGCCAAAGUCUUCCAAGUAAAAUAUGACUUACUUUAAUGGGUAAGACCUCGCACCAUACAGACUCUUCAAAGUCCUUACCAAAAAGGAAUGUUACUAAACAGCAAAAACUUACCGGGAUAGAGGUGUCAUUAACCCAUGCUACUUUGAAUGGAUUUGGAUGUCUCUCUGUUUUAAGGUUUAGCUUCUCAACAAGUUCUUGUGAAGCUAUGUUCAAACUGCUACCUCCAUCAAUGAUCAUGGUGCAUAAUCUCCCUUGGCAAGAAAUACGUGUUUGGAAAAUGCUAGUACGUCGCCAAUUUUCUUCUCCUUUUACUUUUGGAACGGUUAAUAAAGGUCGUACUACAAGACUAUGUCCUUUCGUCAUACCAUCAUAGUAGUCACAUUCUUCACUAACUUCAUCUUCAUUGUAGGUCUCUUCUUCCUUUGGGUAACUUUCCAAUUCAAAUUCUGGUUCUUCAACACAAAAGUGUAAACCUUUGGUUGGGCAUACAACAGCAUAAUGACCAUGCCCACCACACUUAAAGCAUAAAGGAGUCGCGUCUACUUUUCUAUCUCUAUUACUCAUUGAAUUUUUACCCUUAUUACCAUUCUUAUGAGCCACAUUCGAAGUUUGUUGAGUGUUGUCCCCACCAUUCACAUGAUUAGAAGUUCUAAAGUUUGAUGUGCUUAAAAGUUUGUUUGUUGUCCUGUUGGAGAAAGUGCUCCCAAUUUGUGAACUUGGACGCCUGGAAACCCAAAAUUUGAGGCCUUCUUCUAUUUUGAGGGCUAGUUGAUAAACGUCAUCUACGAUAUAAGUGUGUGCAACUAUCAUCUCAAGUUGAAUCUCCAUUCGAAGUCCAGCUUUGUAGCGGGCUGCGAGUUGAGCAUCACUUUCCCGCACUUGAUUUCGAAUGCUCAAUUCAUGGAAUUCUUCUGUAUAUUCUUCAAUGGACUUGGUACCUUGUUUAAGGGAAAACAAUUUUGUAUACAUAAGUUGUUCAUAAUCAGUUAGGAGAAAGUGCUCCUUCAUCUUCAACUUCAUCUCGUCCCAUGUGUCAAUAGGCGAUUAGCCAGUUCUAUGAACUUGAUGCUCAAUAUUAUGCCACCAUAGACGUGCUACGCCUUUCAACUUUGACUUCACAAAACGAACUUUUCUAUUUUCGGGCAUUGCAUACCAAUCAAAGUAAUGUUCCAUUGACAUAAUCCAAUCAAGAAAAGCUGUUGGAUUUAGUUUUCCAUAAAAUUCAGAAACUUCAAGACGUACCUUUUUAGUCACAUCAUCAUCUAGCUCAAAAAGUCUAGCCCUUCUUUGAGUCCCCAUCAUAAAAUUGUCUUGUUCUUCACGUGAUUGAUUUGGCGAUUGUCUAAAUUGAUGACUUGCAAUCUCCUCUUCAAUUGAUCGUUUUUCUUGACUUUUUUCUAAUAACUUCAUGAUCUCAUCAAGUUUGCUAUUUAGUUGUACUAUAGCAUCUUGAUGGGAUUGUUGUGUGGCUAAAAUUUCCUUAAAAGCGUAUUGCAGCGGCAUCUUGAUUGCUAGAAGUUUUUUUGGAACUCAUGCUUGCAUAGGUUGCUCCGCUCCUUAAUUGCAUAUGCCUUCAAGCCAAGAACUUUGGCUCUGAUACCAAAAUUGAUGUAGGACAACCCUAGGACGGUUGCCUACAUUCAAGGGUAGGUGGGCUAGGGUUUUAUUUUUAGGGUGUAAGGAGAGGAACAAGGAAUAAAUUUUAUGGUAGAGAAAAUUAUAAGAUAAGAAAUAGAGAGAAAGAAAAAAGAAUGAAGAAAAGAUGGAAAACCUUAAAGUCUCACUAAGGCCUUCUAGGAGUCUCACCUAGAAGAAAAUCAAUGGAGUCUCACCAUUAAGGGUUGCAACCUUGCAAUGAAAGAAAGUAUAAUAUUAUUCAUCAAAUUCAUUCAUUUGAUUUACAUUGAUUAGCCUAUUUAUAGGCUUCUCUAAGAAAUCCAAAGUCUACUAGAACUCUAAUAACCUAUUAUGAUUCUAAUUCUAACUAUAACAUCCAAAGUCUACUAGGACUCUAAUAACCUAUUAUGACUCAAAUUCUAAUUAUAUUAUAACUCAACUAGCUAAUCCUAAUUAGACUCCAAUAAAUAUCAAUCCUAAUUCAAUUCUAAUUAAUAUUAAUCAUACUUAAAGUUUACUUAGGUCUUCCCUUUCUUCCUUGAAUAAACUUUAAAAGGUUUUCCCCCAUCACAAACACAAUUUCAAGCUAAGAUCCAAGUGUUUAGAAUAGACAAUGCCAGGAAGUACUUUAAUGUUAUACUCGGAAAUUAUCUUCUAGAAAAUGGGAUUAUUCACCAAAGUUCCUGCAUUGAUACCUCACAACAGAAUUGGAUAGCCGAGAGAAAAAAUCGACACCUUCUAGAGGUAGCCCGAUCUAUUAGGUUUACUACUCAUGUCCCAAAACAAUUCUGGGGAGAGGCUGUUUUAAAUGCUACAUACCUAAUAAAUAGGAUGCCUUCUAGAGUCUUGAAAUUUGAUACUCCAUGCCAAACCCUUUCCAAAAACUUUCCUCUAAAUCGGAUUAUAGCCGAUAUACCUCUCAAGGUCUUUGGAUGUUCUGCAUAUGUUCAUCUCCCUCCGCAUCAUCAAAGUAAACAUGAUCCCAAGUCUGUCAAGUGUAUCUUUAUCGGUUAUUCCUCUUAUCAAAAGGGGUAUAAGUGCUAUUGUCCUUCCACUCGGAAAACCUAUAACACUAUGGAUAUGACCUUUCUUGAGAAUGUACCUUUUUACACCAAAACUCAUAUUCAGGGGGAGAAUCUAGUCAAUCAGCAAGCAGAAUAUCAGUUUUGGGAUGUGCCCGUGCCUGACUUUGGGGUGCCAGAACCUAAUUUUUCCAGUAAACCAUCUAUGGCACUGGAUGGACCACCAUUAGAGUCGCGUCAGAUUCAAGGAGACAAGGAGUCCAUUGGCAAAGAACUUCAAGUUUACUCAAGGCGUCAAAAGAACCCUAAACCGGUGGACCUACAUCCUGAGCUUCCUCCUGUGCCUUAUCAAACUGAUGACCCGAAAUCAAAUCCCACCGGAGUCACUCAAGGUAAUAUUGAUUCUCCUAUUAUUACUGAUGACAUUAACUCUAUGGAUGAUCUCAAUAGGGCCCAUAGAAAGAGAGCAAGAUCUUGUACUCAGCAUCCCAUCUCAAAAUUUGUGUCCUAUGAGAAGCUAUCUCCAAAUCUUCGAGCUCUCAUCACAAAUCUGAAGAGUAUUGCUCUCCCAAACUGCAUACAAGAGGCCUUACAGCAUCCUGAGUGGAGAAAGGCAGUGAAUGAAGAAAUACAAGCACUGCAAAAGAAUGCCACUUGGAAGAUUACGAAAUUACCACAAGGAAAACGCCCCGUGGGUUGUAAGUGGGUCUUCAAUGUCAAAUACAAGGCAGAUGGGAGGAUAGACCGGUACAAGGCAAGGUUGGUGGCCAAAGGAUUUACACAAACCUAUGGGAUUGAUUUUCAAGAAACUUUUGCACCAGUUGCAAAGUUAAAUAGAAUCCGAGUCUUGCUAUCCUUGGCAGCCAACCUUGAUUGGAAUUUGCAUCAACUAGACGUCAAAAAUGCAUUUCUCAAUGGCAAUCUUGAAGAAGAAGUCUUCAUGGAGAUUCCUCCAGGCCUAAAACUCUCCAGUAGCAACGACCUAGUCUGCAAACUUCAUAAAUCACUCUAUGGGCUUAAGCAAUCCCCAAGAGCUUGGUUCGAGAGGUUUACUAAGGUGAUUAAAGGAGAGGAAUUUUCACAAGGGCAAUCUGAUCACACUCUUUUCAUUAAGAGAUCGCCUGGUGGUAAGAUUACAGUUCUUAUAGUCUAUGUUGAUGAUAUAAUUGUUACCGAGAAUGACGAAGAGGAAAUUUCCCGACUUAAAACAGUUCUAAGUAAAGAAUUUGAGAUUAAAGAUCUAGGAACUUUGAGGUAUUUUCUUGGCAUGGAGGUAGCAAGGUCAAGCAAGGGUAUCUUUGUAUCACAACGAAAAUAUACUCUUGACUUGUUAAAGGAAACAGGAAUGCUUGGAUGCAAACCCUCUAAUACUCAUAUGGAUCCAUUCAACAAGAUAGGCUCAAAAGAAGAUAUGGCUGUUGUCGACAAGGGAAGAUAUCAAAGACUAGUUGGAAGGUUAAUCUACUUAUCACACACAAGACCUGACAUCAGCUUUGUAGUGAGUGUGGUUAGUCAAUUUAUGAACAAUCCCACCGAAGAACAUCAAGAAGCCAUAUAUAGGAUACUACGCUACUUAAAAAUGACUCCAAGUAAAGGAUUAUUCUUCAAAAGAGUGGCAAGCCGUGACGUGGAGAUCUUCUCAGAUGCAAACUAGGCUGGUUCCUUAACAGAUAGAAGGUCUACUUCAGGUUAUUGUACCUAUGUCUGGGGCAAUCUAGUUACUUGGAGGAGAAAGAAGCAAUCGGUUGUGGCACGCAGCAGUGCAGAAGCGGAAGUUCGUGCCAUGGCCCAUGGAAUUUGUCAAGGGAUAUGGUUAAAAAGGCUGCUUGAAGAACUCCAGUUCGCUCCUCACGGACCUAUGAAGUUGAUGUGUGACAAUCAAGCAGCAAUCAGCAUCGCAAAAAAUCCAGUCCAUCACGAUCGAACCAAACAUGUUGAGAUUGAUCGUCACUUCAUCAGAGAGAAGAUAGAGCAAAAGAUCAUAGAAGUGGACUACAUCCCUACACGGCAACAGAUUGCAGAUAUAAUGACAAAGGUUGUUCCUAGAACCCAAUUUGACAUACUUCUCUCCAAACUAGGAAUGAUUAACAUUCAUUGCCCAGCUUGAGGGGGAGUGUGAAAUUCCGGGUUUAUGGAUGAUUGUAGAAUGAAAUUAGAAGAUAAUACAGGCUGUAAUUAGAGAUUUGCUAGUUGUAAAUAGCUGUAGAUUAUUUUCUAUAGAUAGAAGAUAGUUUCCUCUCUUGUGGGAUGUGACAGAGUUUUUUUAAGGAAUUACCAGGCUGUUGGUAAUCUCCUAUUUCCCUAUAAAUGUAUAUUUCUGCAGAGUAAAUAAUAUGAAAGAAAAUUCUCACAAUUUUCUUCACGUACCUUUAUAGUUUGUUAGGCACUUCCAUAAAACAAGAAGAUUAGUUCACAUGCAACAAUGUCAUAACAUGUACAAUCUGCACUCGAUCAUUAAGCAAGGUCAUCAACACAAAGAGCAAAUAGAGCGAAGCUAACCAAUCAUAGAAAAUAAGCAUAGAUGCUAAUGCACACAAAGAGGUAAAGGAAGGAAACAUACCUUGAUAGCAUUUAAAAGCGCUUUCAUAAAAAUAAGAUUAAUUCACAAAUAUUAAUAAUUAGUUUUAAAAUGAAUAAAAAACUAAACCUAUAUUUAUAUACUUAGCAUGUCUCAAAUCAAAGAAGGUUCACGAGCACGUUCAAAAGUGACCAAAUUAUCAAAAGCAAAGGAAUUAUCAUUAACAGGGUAGAAUAUUGAUUUAUAAAAUAAACUCCAAAUAAAUAACAAGAAGUAUUAUCUCAUCAAAAUAAAAAUUAGGUAACAUCUUUAACAUAUCCAGAUCACUGUCCAAAAUGCCCAAUUUAUUAAUUAUAUUCCAACUCAUAUCAAAUUUAUUCACAAGUGGGUUGCUUCACAAAAAAAUCAGCAAAUGAUCAUAACAGAGGACUCUACAAAAUAAAUCUAAAACAAAUAUCUACUAGUCUAGUUUUAUCAUGAAAAUUUUUAGAAAACAUCUCCUAUAUGUCAAGUUUAUCAUCCAAGUGAUCAAAUUAGUUAACUAACUCUCACUUAGUACCAGAUUUCAAAAUGAUGAUAAUAGGUCCAAAACAGGACAUCUUUUUAAGGUAUUCAACAAUUGAUUUUUUUUAAUUAAUUUAGAGAUAUCCUAAAAUCAUACAAAAAUUCAUAAAACUAGCUUGAUAUGUCUAUUUAAAAUGAAAAAUAAUCACAGGGCACUAUCACAUUUAUAACAUAUUUAAAAAUAAGUAAACAUCUCUUAGCUCCAGAAGAGCACUUGUGCAGUGGGUGCAAGAAAAAAAGUUAUGUCUCUCAUUUUAGAAAUCGUUUCUUAAUAUUUUAGGUAUCAAAAAUUAAGUUAGGGAAGUCUAGAUUAAGGUAAAAACGCCUAAAGGAAUUAAAGAGGAUCGUUUAGUAAUUUAAUUUUGCAACAAAACUGAGUGUCAAAAACAGAGUGAAAACCAUACCUUCUGAAAGAUUGAUUUAUAUCUUCUAAUUGGGGAAUUAUUUUUGCCUCAAACAAAAACCUAAAAUCAAAUCCAAGAAGUUUACAAGACCAUGGAAUAAUUAGAAAAAUUUUAAAGGGUUUCUAAAUGGUCAGAUUCUAAUUUACAAGUUCAAGGGAAUGAACUAUCAACAGUGUUAGUAGAAAACCAUAUUUUGAAAAACUUUGUAUGUAGGGAUCCAUCAAAUCCCAUUUUAAUUUCCAUAAAUUCAUCCAUAAAGACUCUGUUGAUUGGAGUUAUGAAUUUUAAUUCGUGUGUAUUCAAAACCAAAAUUCAUUUUUAAAACUUUUGAAAGUUUCAUAUCGAAUAAAAUAGGUAGCAUGUGUCUUUUUGUACAUUAACAUAGCAAAAACCAUAGGCUAGCCAUGUAUCUCUUUGAAGUGGAGAGAAAGGCUUUCCAAGUAAAGUUCGAAGGCUCCAAUGGGGGAACGUGGAUCUCAAUAACAGAGAGAAGUCGAGGUUUUGUUGUUUCGAUAGGCUUUGGAGAGGAGGAGUUAGAUUGGUUGUCAGAGCAUUUGAAGAAAGUUGUGGAGUUGGAGGCUUCCAGGGGUUUUAUUCGAAAGAUUAGGGGCAAGACUAGGACUCAUUUGAUGGAGAUUUGUUUCAAUAGUAGAGGGAGAUUUAUGAAAAUCACAGAAUUUGUUACAAAAAGGAAACCUCUAGUUCUAGUCAUUCCUGAGGGUGUUAAAGGUAAUGGGUGGGAAGCCCUUAGGAAGGUGAUUUCUUCAAUACAAGACUUGUCUAAUCAAGCUGUAAGAGCCUCGAAGGAGAUGAUUAAAGAUUCUCAGGUGAGCAAGGGCAUUUACAGAGAAGAUCGGUCCUAUGCAGAUGUGGUUGCAGAGGAAGGACCCAGGAAUGGAGCUCUGCUGCCAGUGGAAAAAUGGGCCAGAGCUGUAAUUUGUGAAAGUAAAGGAAAAGUACUAGAUUGGUUUUAUGUAGGAAUAGCUAUUACAAGGAUGAUGGGUACGAAAGGAAUGGUGUCUGUAACCCUUAUUUCCACUUACAAGGGGUGCUUUUUUGUGGAUUCUGCAAGGAGAGCUGAUUGGUUUCAAGAACAUGGGAUUUUAAUAGUGAGAGGAGGGACUGUUGUUCUGAGGAGAUGGUCGCCAAGAGAAAAUACUGUUGUAUCCGGAAAAUUUAGAAAGGGUUGGUUAGAACUAAGAGGCUUCCUUUUCAUUUGUGGGACGAGGUUCAACUGAGAUACAUUCUGCAGAAGUGGAGGAAGGUGACGAAGGUGGCACGGGAAUCUUUGAAGCUUGUAGACUUGUCGAAGGUAAAGUUGUGGGUGGAGAUGUUUCCAAAUGUGGUGCUACCUGCAUUGCUAGAGGUGGAAGAUGGGACCUGGUUUUUUACGGUUAUGGUUUCAGUUGUCGGAGAAGUUGAAGGAGACGACCUUCUCAGGCCUGAGUCAACUCGCAACAAGGACGAGUUGAUGUCAACGGGAGGUUACAUCUCUCAGAGGCCAAAGAACACUACGGGGCUACGGGCUACUGCUAGGAGCAAUGAGUGCUACAGCUAGAGCCUCAUCAUCAAUCCCGUUCUCGUUCCUUAGUUUCAAAUAUGGCUUCCACAGCGAAGAAAGAAGGGGGAGGAAGUCUCUUGGGCCCAGCGGUGGGAAGAGGUAUCCGACCAACAAAGCCAAAUGCAUCUUUUAAAGCCCGAUCUGCUAAGGCCCAGUUUGGGGCGAUGAGUUUGGGGCCUCCUGCUGGUCCAGUCCAGAAACAGAGGCAGGAUCUUCUAAUGGCAGCCCUAUAGCGCCUUCGUCCUCAAAGUUCCAAUACUCAGGAUCCUCCGCAAAGGAGGUUCCGUCAAUUGAUCACUCUCAAGAGUCGUCAAAGAUAAAAGGCCCCUCAAUCUCUGCAAGGCGCAAAGCGAGAAGUUGGCCUCUGAGCCUAAAGGUGUCGUCUUCUGCUUCGAAGCAUAACCUAGAUGGGGGUGGCUUUGCGGAAGCAAAUCUAGCCAUUUUUCGGGGCAAACCAGUCUCCAAUAAGGGCGUUCUUCCUCCUGUUCCAGAAACCUUUCAAUUUUUCACCGGCGAGACAGAGGAAGGUGAUGGGUUUUCGCGUUGCGGUUUGGCAAACAAGGUGUGUCCUCCUUUCUCAGCUUCCUCUGAGCAGGGUCAUCCUUUGGCUGGGGCUUUUGCUCCAAAAUCUCUUCCCAUCUCCUCUGUUUCUACUGUUCAUCCAUUUUGGUGUCAGCAUUUUUUUUCGUUUCCGAUGGAGUCAGUCCUUCCUUCUCAGGGUGUUCCCUUUUCGAUUCCUCCUGGUGGUGAGCUUAGUCGUCAUGUUGGCGUGUCUUGUUCUGAAGAUAUGGCGUCUCCCGUAGAAGCCUCUAACCAAAUUUUUAAAGACCGUCCUAUCCUUAGGGAAUCACUCAGUAACCCUGAGGAGUUUUGCGUCUUAGGUAAGGCUUCGUCGCCAAAGCCAAAACCUCCCACCCUCCCAUUGGAAGUUUUUCAGAUUGAGGGCCUCGCACCUAGGAAGAUGGUCAAGGUUCAAUCGGUUUUGGAGAGUCUGAGGAUUAGAAUUGUCAGAGAUAAUGGAAAAGGUGUGGAAGUAGAGAGCAUGAGUACUCUUUCUGCGAACAAGGUCUAUUUCAGAAGGAAGAGGAAAAAUGAUUGUGGAACCCAGGAAGAGGCUUAGGUUCGGUUGCAGUUUGUGCUGGGUUUCUUUUGUUUACAUGAAGAUCUUAAGUUGGAAUAUAAGAGGAUUAGGUUCCAAGAAGAAAAUGAGGAUUGUCAAAAGGCUUUUAAGUUCUCAAAGUCCAGAUGUUGUGAUGCUUCAAGAAACAAAGAGAGAAUUUGGGAUAGGAGGUUUGUGAGUAGUGUCUGGAAAGGUAAGUAUGAAGUGGGCUGCUCUUUCUGCUUGUGGGGCUUCAGGGGGGAUUGUGAUUACGUGGGAUUCAAAUAAGUUCAAGUGUACAGAGAAGGUGUUAGGAUCUUUCUCUGUAACUGUGAAGUUGAACUCUGGUGAGGAAGGGUCUUUUUGGUUAACUUCAGUGUAUGACCCGAAUAAGCCUUUGUGGAGGAAGGACUUUUGGCUGGAGCUUCAAGACUUGUAUGGUCUGACCUUCCCAAUGUGGUGUGUAGGAGGGGAUUUUAAUGUAAUCAGGCGGAUCUCUGAGAAACUGGGUGAUUCUAGGUUAACUUUCAACAUGAGGUGUUUUGACGAGUUUAUAAGGGAGAGAGGUUUGUUGGAUCCCCCUCUAAGAAAUGCGGCUUUUACUUGGUCAAACAUGCAAGUUGAUCCUAUUUGCAAGAGGUUGGAUAGGUUCUUGUUUUCUUCUGUGUGGGAUUCUUUUUUCUCUCAAAGUCUUCAAGAGGCGCUUCCUAGAUGGACCUCAGAUCAUAACCCAAUUUGCUUGGAAACUAAUCCUUUAAAAUGGGUCCGACUCCUUUGAGGUUUGAGAAUAUGUGGUUGCUCCAUCCUGAGUUUAAGGAGAAGUUAAGUGAUUGGUGGCAAGAGUGUAUGGUUGAAGGUUGGGAAGGUCACAAGUUCAUGAGGAAAUUAAAGUUUGUUAAAUCAAAGUUGAAAGAUUGGAAUAAAAUGGCCUUUGGAGAUUUAAGAGAAAGGAAAAAACUCAUUCUUUCGGACUUAGGUAGAAUUGAUCUAAUUGAACAAGAAGGGAAUUUGAAUCUUGAUUUGGUAUCAGAAAGGACCUUAAGAAGAAGGAAGCUAGAGGAUUUGUUAUUAAAGGAAGAGGUUCAUUGGAGACAAAAAUCUAGGGUCAAGUGGACUAAAGAAGGGGAUUGCAAUUCUAAGUUUUUUCACAGAAUGGCCAACGGAAGGCGAAGCAGGAAGUUCAUUAAGUCUUUGAUUUCUGAGAGGGAGGUGACUCUAAGCAACAUUGAGAUUAUCUCUAAGGAGAUUAUAAAUUUCUUUGGGAAACUCUAUUCCAAACCCGAAGGUUCUUCUUGGAGGGUUGAAGGAGUAGAUUGGGUCCCUAUUCAUGGUGAGAGUGCAGUUUGGUUGGACAGAACUUUUUCUGAAAAGGAGGUACGAAUGACACUUUUCCAUUUGAAUAAGGAGAAGGCCCCUGGUCCUAAUGGUUUUACUAUUGCAGUAUAUCAAGAGUGUUGGGAUGUGAUCAAAGAGGAUCUUAUGAGGGUGUUUCUUGAGUUCCACACCAAUGGGAUAAUUAAUCAAAGUACAAAUGCGACCUUCAUUGUUUUGGUGCCUAAGAAAAGCCAAACUUUUAAAAUCUUAGAUUAUAGACCUAUUAGCUUGGUUACAAGUUUAUAUAAGAUAAUUGCUAAGGUCUUAUCAGGGUGUUUACGCAAAGCCCUCCAUGAAAUAGUCUCUAGCUCUCAAGGAGCCUUUGUUGAAGGGAGACACAUUUUGGAUGCUGUGUUGAUAGCGAAUGAAGUGGUGGAUGAGAAAAAAAGGUCAAGGGAGGAAGGGGUAGUCUUCAAAAUCGAUUUUGAGAAGGCCUAUGAUCAUGUGGAUUGGGGCUUUUUAGAUCAUGUGCUAGAAAGGACGGGGUUCAGUUCGAAAUGGAGAUCUUGGAUAAGGGGAUGUUUGUCUUCAUCAAGUUUUGCAAUCCUAGUUAAUGGGAAUGCAAAGGGUUGGGUUAAGGCCUCUAGAGGUUUGAGACAAGGAGACCCCCUUUCUCAUUUCCUUUUUACUUUAGUAACAGAUGUUCUAAGUAAGUUGAUGAUCAGAGCAGAGGAAACUGGGCUAACUGAGGGUUUCUUUAUGGGGAGGGAUAGGACUAAAGUGUCUUUUUUACAGUUUGCAGAUGAUACCAUCUUUUUCUCUAAAGCCUCUCUGGAACAUCUUCAAAACCUAAAGAUUAUCCUUUUGGUUUUUGGGCAAGUAUCAAGUUUAAAAAUCAACCUAGAAAAAAGCACCAUUUCAGGUAUUAAUACUGGGCAAGAGUUGGGGAGAGAAUUCGUUUUUGGGAAGAUCAUUGGUAGGGUAACCAAUCUUUGUGCUCUCAAUUUAUUGGUCUUUAUAGAGUUAUUUCUGUGAAAAACCUCACUGUCUCAAAUGUCCUUAGCAAUUCCUUUCCACUGUCUUGGAAUUUUAAUUUUCACCGCAAUCUCACUUAUUCAGAAAUUGAUCUCCUUCACAAUUUAAUGUUUUCCCUUAGCUCAAUGCUUUUCUCUCUUUCUUUGGCAGAUUCAAGAGAGUGGUCUUUGACAUCAUCAGGCCUGUUUUCAGUGAAAUCUUUUUUAUUGGCCUUGUCAAAAGUCUCAAAUCCUAUCUUGUUCCUUCCGGCCAAGUUCUUGUGGAGUUCAAAAGCCCAAUCAAAGGCUAAGGCCCUUGCUUGGUUAGUAGCACAUGGGAAGGUAAACACCAAUGACAAGUUGCAAUUGAGAAGACCCUACAAAUCCCUCCGUCCUCAUCGGUGCAUUCUUUGCAAAGGAAAUGGAGAAUCGAUAGACCACCUUUUUCUUCAUUGCCCUAUUACCAUUGGACUUUGGCACAAGUUAUUCAAUCUAGCAGGGUUGGCUUGGGUUCCUCCAAGGAGUAUUGAGGACAUGUUGGUUAUUGCUUUUAAAGGCUUGGGAAACUCUUUAAUUUUGCCUUACUUUGUUAUGGACUUUGAGGAUAAGGGGAGAACGGAAGAGAUGUUAUCAGUAGAAUAGUCAAUAAUGUAAAAAAUAAUGUAAAAAAAGCUCACUCUGAAUGCACCGUAGUAGUGUAAAAAAUAACCCUCUCAACAGUAGAAUAGUCAAUAAUGUCAUCCAGUAAACAUGAGUUAGUCAUCAUCCCCUCAUAAUGUCAACCCCUAUAACCAUGCCAAUCCACUGGAGUCAUGGGUAAAACAAUGAUCUCAAAGAUGAUCCUCUCAAUGACAGAAUAGACAAAGGUUUCAUCAACCACAACCUCUCAUCACAAUCCAACGGUCAUCAUGGAAGAUCAACCUCUAUAGUCAUGCCAAUCUCCUGAAAUCAUGCAUAAGGGUCUAAUCCGGAUGCGCCAUAAUGAUCUCAAAGAUGAUCCUCUCACCCAAAUAGUAAUAAGUGAUCUCAUAAAGCGAUCUAAGUACUCUCGUCAUAAUCCACUGAUCAUCCCCUCAUUGUGCAAAGCUCAUCUCCAAUCUAGUCUCCUCAAACUCUACCUGGUCAAGUCAGAAAAUGGAUAAAAAGAACUGAUAAUGGUGCCAUGCAAGGAUAUGUAGGAAUGGAAAGGUCGAGUGAUAAUGGGGUGAGGGGUGAUGCUACAUAAGGCUCAGAAUAGGUGGGCACACAAGAAUAGAAGAUGUGGAAAUGGGUAGGUACUACUCUCAUCAUAAGAUAGAUGAGUCACAAUCUUGAAUUUUUUAGGUCAGGCUCAUGGUCCAAGGUCAAAAAGCUCAAUGUCCUCCAUGAUGGGUCAGACCUCAAGAUCACAAUAUGCAAGUGAAGAGAUGGCUAAUGUCUAAAGAUCUAACACAACACACGUAGUGUGGUUCUGUGAUGAUAAUCAAAAUCUGGAUGUAUGAUAGAGACUCUAGAGUCAUAAGGGUGUCCAUUAUGAGAUGGCUACAAAUCUAAUUAAAGAAUUUCUAUCAAUAAUCCAAAAAAUGAGUGAGGUGUGAAGAACAACACUAUCACGGGACCAAUACUCUAUCUAUAACAAGACAUACCUGAUUCACUUUCAACCCAAGCUCCAUAAAGAAAAUGAUAAGGUGAUCAAGGAAAACCCUCAAAAAAGGUAUGAAUGUGAAAACAAGCCUUUUACCUUUCUCCAAUGAAAAUGACAAGCAUCAGGGUAAAAAUAAAAUCAAGUGAAUAAAUCAAAGGAUAAAGUAUCAAGCCCAUGAUAGGUGUAAGAUGUAAAAAGGUGAUCAUAAUCGAUAAGCAUAUCAUAAAGUAUAUGUUAAAACAUGCACUCUCAAUAAGCAAUAAUCACAGAAAGUGAAGAACGUACCUUUAUAGUUUGUUAAAAAGUGUUGUAAACAUAAGCUAAUUGUAAUCUAACACAUGGAACAAAUUUACAGUUGUAUAAAUGAUUAAUUAUGCCUAAAUUAAACGCUAAAAUAAAUGCCUAAAGAGCCCUAAGUGAGUAUCCAAUUAAAUCAUACAAUUUCCUCUCUAAGUAACAUGCAUGUAUGUGAAUUAUAAAAUGUGGAUUCCCAAGAAUCAACUAAACAAAAAUACAUAAAAUCAAAUCCUCAUAAAUCAAAAUAAAAAUCAUGAUUUCAAAGCCAAUUAUCAUAGGAUUAUCAAACGGCUUUAUUAGGUAAAAACUUAGGUUAAAUCAAAUCAAAAUUCCAUUCUAAACCAUGAAACAACAAAGAUCAUUCACACAUUGACCUAAACAAUGGAUUCUAGCAACACUCAUGUGUGGCUCGGUUUGUCCACAUCCAAUCCUAAUCUAGAAUAAUUAAAACCAAAGAGAGUUAAUAAAAGAAAAGGAGCAAAACCAAGAUUAAAAUUCAGCGAACUUAUCUCAACCUUCUUGAAAAGAUCAAAACUGAAAACUUCUUGAAAAGUCUUCAUGAUUGAGAACUGAAGCCUUUUCUUCCCUCCAAUGCUUUCCACGUGAUCUCCUCAUGACCUCAUAAAGAAUCCUUGCAUCCAUUAAAAAGGUGAUCCCAUGUGAAAGAAAAAAAGACAAAACUAAAGUUAGUGCACCAACAUUACACAAUUAAAAAAGACUAUCUAAAAAAAUAAAUAAAUAAACAAAUAAAUAAAAUAAUUUUAUGUCAACCAAAAAUUAAAGUUCAAAUUCAUGAAACUAAGAUCAAAAUAUUAGGUACAUGCAAUCAAACAUAAAAAAUGUCAAUUUCAUGCAAAUCAAGAUCAAAUCCUACAACCAUGCAAUAGAAAAAGAAACCUAAACCUAAAUGCAUUUGAAAUCAAAUAAAACUUAACAAAAAUCCUAAACUCAAAAAAAAAAAAAAAAAAAAGGUCAUUGAGCAAGCACGCUCGGGAUCCCUAAAAAGCCCCCCAAGGUAUCUACAAUAAAAAUCCAAAGGUAAUGACUGAAAGAGUUGCAGUAGGCCACCGAAAAGAGCUUAAAAACAGUUUAGAAAAGGACCAUAAGAUCAUAAACAAGUAACAGAAGAUGACCGAGGGCAAAGUUGGGCAUCAUUUACCAAGAGGACAAAAUGAAGGGUCUACACCAACUAAUCCAGAGCUACUUAUGUUGUGUUUAUUAAUAAACAUAAUCACCAAUAAAUAAAGUAUUUCUCUUUGUUUGCAGUAUCUCUUUUUGGUCCAAAAUUCAAACAUCAUUUUACACUUGAAAAAGUGUAAUGUUUGUGCAAGUGGCACAGUGAGAAUUACACAACUACAGUGCAUUCUAUCAUCCAAUUUACAUGUAAGCUCUCAAUAGAAAAUAAAUUCUGUUAAAAAAAUUUUGCCAUAAGCAUGACACUACUUAAUCUUGCUUAUGGUCAUGGUUCUCUCUCAUUUGUUAUUUUUUUUUUAUUUUUUCUAGUGGUAAAAUAAACCAUUCUGUUAUUCCACAGUUAUCAGAUUCGGAGUAUAUGUAUAAGUUGCAUGUUUGACAGAAUACCAUACUUGAAAUGGUACAGCUAUAGUAAAGAAUUCAGUUAAGAGGACCUUACUUCUUAGGAGGCUGGUUGGAUUUUUCUACCAAAAGGUCCCUUAUCUUCUCAUUGUAAACCUCCAACAUGCUAACAAACAAUUCAUAAUUUAUUAUGUGGCUUCUCUCCCUUGAAAUUCAGAACAACUCCUUCAAAGUCCUGUAGUUGACUCCUCCAUUUUCUGGAGUUCCUUCCAUUGUAAAGGUCUUUCAAGUUCCAGUUUGUCCAUAGGCAAAUAUACAGACAUUAUACCCAUCCAGCAUGGAAGUCACAAUUGGUGAAGUUUGCCCAAAAACAGCCUCUGCAUAUUUAACAAACCUAGAAUUAAAAACUUCUAAACAGUGCAACACCAAUUAACUAAUUAAUCCAGACUAACAAAAUCAAGUAUCAGUUUGUUUAGGUUACCUUGGUUUUGUUCAGGUUACCUUGGUCACUCCCAGGCCUGAACACAUGGUCGAACUUAAAUUGCUUCUUUGAAGAAUUAGAGCAAAUGAUUUGAAGCCCAUUUUCUCGAGAUGGCUCAAAAUCAACUAUAGAAGUAGAUCCAUUAGCCAUUUCAGCUUGAUUUAAGGGUCUACAUCUGUAAAAGACUCUGUUGUUGCCUCUCAGUUGAAUAACUUCAUUGUACAGCCGCUUCUGUUCCAAGCCCUCUUCAAGGUACUUCUUCAGAAGCUAACUCCCUUCCUAAUGUUUCUUCUACAAAUUUUCAUUUUCAAUACCUAAAAUCAAAUAAAGCAAAUCACAAACCAAUCAAAGCCCCCUAGAAGAAGGAUAUAGAAUAUCAGUAGUAGCUAGUAAAGAAGACAUACCGAGAAACAGAAGAGCAUUGUAAACUUCAGGCCCGGGAGAGGAAUCUGCAUUAAUGCUCCUCACUUCAUUACAUAAAAUUGUGUGCCCCUUCACAGUCUGUCACAUGAAGAUUCAAAGUCGAUAACAAAUAAAUGAAGAUGAACUUUCUUAUGACACAAAACAUCCAGGCUCUAAUUGGUUGCUAAGAAAAUGCAGGAAAAGAGAAGUAAAAUUCUGAAUCUUCAAUUUUGCAUUACUCUACUUACUUAAAAUGUGUUGUUCAUAUUUUUGACAAACCUAAAUUAUGUAAAAUAUAAGAAUCAAAAUUUUCUAUUAGGUUGCCCUAAUCUGAGCUUUCUCAGCAUCUAAAGAUUAUGGUUAGGCUAUAAUUACCAAAACCGUACCCGAGUAUCGGUGCUCAACUCAUCAAUUUUCUCAUAAACUGGAAGUCUCUGGUUAUGAUCCAAAGAAAUUUAUUGGAUUUCCAUGGAAACAUCAUUCUCAUCCAUCUUGUCCCAAUUCAGUUCAACUUUUUCCUGGAGCAACAUCCAAAACCCUUGAUCAACACACACAUCACAGAACCCCAAAAACAAUAGACUAGAACCCCAAAAACCACCUUCACCUCUCUGUUUCUCUCCCUUCCCGCUGAAAGAUUCCCCCUAAAGAUGAAAGUUCCCCACCUCCAGAAAGGUCUCCCUCCUCUCUCUACCUGUGGUGAACUCUGCUCCUCUGAGAAUGCCAAAAAAAGUCCUCUGUUGGUGAUGAACUCUCUUUUAUCAGCAUGAGAAAUCUUUGGAACUCCAACUAUCACUCAUCCUCAGGCGUGGUGUGCAUGCUCCCUCAACAGAAAGAUGCUUCUUCUGGAGACUUCUCCUAAAAGGGCCUCACCGAAUGCAUGGCGGUUAAGAAACAUGACUGGCAGUAGCUUCCUUGCAUGGCCUGUGGUUAUGCUUUCCCAAAAUAUGAAAACCGAAAACUUCUUGAAAAGUCUUCAUGAUUCAAAACCAAAGCCUUUUCUUCCCUCCGAUGCUCUCCACGUGAUCUCCUUAUCACCUCAUAAAGAAUCCAUGCAUCCAUUAAAAAGGUGAUCACAUGUGAAAGAAAAAAAGACAAAACUAAAGUUAGUGCACCAGCGAUACAUCAUUAAAAAGGACUAUGUAAAAAAAUAAAUAAAUAAAUAAAAUAAUUUUAUGUCAACCAAAAAUUAAAGUUCAAAUUCAUGAAACUAAGAUCAAAAUAUUAGUCACAUGCAAUCAAACAUAAAAAAUGUCAAUUUCAUGCAAAUCAAGAUCAAAUCCUAGAACCAUGCAAUAGAAAAACAAACCUAAACCUAAAUGCAUUAGAAAUCAAAUAAAACUUAAACAAAAAUCUAAACUAAAAAAAAAAAAAAAAGUCACUAUGCAAGCACAUUAGGGAUCCCUCAACAGUCCCUAAAGGUAUCUCCAAAGAAAAUCCAAAGGUAGUGACCAAAAGAGUUGCAGUGGACCACCAAAAAGAGCUUAAAAAUAACUCGGAAAAAGACCAUAAGAUCAUAAACAAGUAACAGAAGAUGAAUGAGGGCAGACUUAGGCAUCACGUGCCAAGAUGACAAAAUGGAUGGUCUACAAAUAUGCCCUUCUUUGAUAGAGAGUAAUGAACGAAUCACGGAUACGUGAGUAAUAAAUGAAAUGAAGUGAACUACACCAAAGAAUAGAAAAGACCCCGAAAUUUUGUCCUUGGACAAGACAUAACAAACUCAAAAUCAAUCAGAGUCACAUACUAGAGCAGAGAAACUUUGGAUGAGGAGAAACAGGGAAAUCUGAACACUAAAAAAAACUGACAAAGAAUGAUUUUGAAAGCCAAACUGAAAAGAUAGCUCUAAAAACUAAGUGGGUCUAUAGGAAAACCUGAUCCCUAAAAACUAACAAAAAUGACUUUAAAAGUCAAAUAGAAAAGACAGCUCUAAACACAAAAAAGGUGUACGAGAAAACCCAAUCACUAAGAAAAAACCGAUAAAGAAUGACUCCGAUAGCCAAAUCGAAAAAACAACUCUAAAACCUAAGUGACUUAGAAAGCUAAUCUAAGAGAAAUGACUCUGAAAGCUAAGGAAUCGGCCAAGAAGGAGGAAGUGAUACACAAACCCCUGAUCAAUCAUAUGAUCUGUACCCUGAAUGAUGACACUGAAUGCCUCUGCUCUGAAAACUAGUAAAUCAACCAUGAAGUAGAAUGCCCAUAGAUAUAAAAUCUAUGGUGGUGAGAAACUACAUCGAAUGCCCAUAGAUGUCCAAUCUAUGGUGAUGAGAAUAUGAUCGAAUGCCCAUAAAUAUCAAAUCCAUGGUGGUAAGAAUCUAAUCGAAUACCCAUAGAUGCCAAAUCUAUGGCGGUGAGAAUCUGAAUCGAAAGCCCAUUGAUGUCAAAUCUAUGGUGGUGAAAAUCUAAUCAAAUGCCCAUAGAUGUCAAAUCUAUGGUGAUGAAAAUCUGAUCGAAUGCCUACAGAUGUCAAAUCUAUGGUGGUGAAAAUCUAAAUGGAAGAGGGAUGCCCUAAACAACUCAACGAAUAGGGGAUUCCCAAAACAACUCAACAAAAAGGAGAUGCCCCUAAACAAACUAAUGAAUAAUGCCCAUAGAUGUCAAAUCCAUGGUGGUAAGAAUCUGAAUCGAAAAAGAAUGCCCUAAACAACUCAAUGAAAGGGGAAUGCCCUAAACAAAAAUGAGGGAUAUGCCCCUGUAUAGCAACUGAUGCGAACUUACUAUGCUCCACUAGAAUAGGUACUAUCUCAAAAAUACUCCACCGGGGCCUCUAAUCAGUGAAAAUGUCCAACCUCAAAGAAAAUGCUCUCCUAGGGAGGGGACUGGCCUCAACAAAGGAAAGAGGAAUAUGCCCUAGUAUAACAACCCAUGCAUAGUCACAAGGAUAACCAAAUGAUACAAACCUGUCAUCUCUGUUCUCCAAUGAUGAAAUGAUCAAACGACUCAAGGUACAUGUACAUCAUCAACCAAUCAUGCUAGCUCAAGGAAACUCCACUAAGGAUAAAAAAUGAUCAUGCUAAACUACUCCACUGGAAGUAUGGAUGAAAACCUAUCUCGCUAAGGUGACUCCCAUAAAAAUCCCGAUGAUAUCUAAAAAUGCAAACCUGAGUCGAUGGCCUAGGAAAGGCUCCACUAGGAAACUAGGGUAAAUGGAUUGUCAAAACGAUGAUCUACAUCAUGAACUAAAGUGACUACGAUAACAACCAAGUGAAAAAUCUUGAUAAAAAAGGUACACCCUAGUAUAAAAACUCUCAAGUAACAACAAGCAAACCCAGUACCUAGGAUAUCGGUAGAGGAUCCUAUAAAUCCUAAGAGGAGAUAUGCCCCAGUAUGUGAUGGCGACCGAUAAGAGACACAACAUCAAGACACGAGAAACUCUAGGAUAUGCUCAAUGAUAAUGCAAUGGAAAAGUCUAACCUCAAUCAUCAAAUGCUUAAAUAGGACCAUACAUCACAAAAACUGUGCUAAUAAAGACAAACCAAAAUGAUGGACAAAACAAAUGUCCAAAAAAACGUAUAAGUUAACAACACAAGCAAGUCAAGACACAACAUAUCAAUUGUCAGUAUGAAGACACCAUCUCAAAUACAUCAUCAAUCUAAUAGGCCCUACCAUCAUGGAAGAUAUUGAACCUAAUGUCCAAAGGUAUGCAAACACUCAACCAAAAAACUCAAAACCGGCCUACACCCUCUCCUCUGAUCGAGAAAGUGGAAUAAGAUCCUAUAGGAUGAUAAAAAAAGGUAGACUCAAAGUGAAAUGUUAGUAGAGCUCUAGCAAAAUGAGAUAGAUGUAGGUAUAGUGGUGUCAAAGGUAGAAUGUACAGGUGUGUAACAUAGGUAAAUGGAUAUCCACGUCGAACCAGGUGAGCUGAGGAGACUGAUCCCAAAAUAUCAUCAUCUCUAUAAUCCAUCGAAAGCAACAUUCAUAAACAAGAGGUCAAAAUCAGAGAAGUGGCUAUGCCCCAGUAUGAAUACAUCAUCUCAAAAUGGGUGAGCUCCAAAUAGAAAAAACACCUCCAAAACCAAUCACGGAUGAGAGAAAUAUGACCCCACAAGGCGAAGAUGCAAAAUGGUCAAACUCAUGUAAGAUAACCUCUAGAAAGUGUACAUCUAGUAUAACUUUCAUCUCAAAAUCCAUCACUAAUGAAUGGGUUAUGCCCCAAUAUAAGCUUAUACCUCUGAACUCUGACAUGGUCAUGUCUCAAUGUAACUCCAAGGUCAAUAGCCAAUGAGAGGGCUAUGCCGUAGUGUAGGGCAAUCUCUGAAAUGACUAAAAUCCACUAAGAACCCUCACAAGUGUACGCCCUGAUCAAAUCAUCUCAAAAAUAAAUCAAUACCAAUGAGAAGUCUAUGCUCCAGUGUAGUCAAAUCAAAGAAAAUCACCCAUUCAUAUCUCGUACUCCAAUGUGAAAGGAAAAUCUCAUCAUCUCUAAAAGAAUGACUAUGCCUGAAAAAUUCAUAAUCAAUCUAAGAGGAGUGUGCCUUUGUGUAGAGUACAUCAGAUGAAAUAUGCCAAACACAUCUCAUACUCCAAUGUGAAAAGAAUGCCUGAUCUCCUCUGAAGAAUGGCUAUAACUCAUAAAUCCAUCAUCAUUUGAGAGGAAUAUGCCCCAGUGUAAGCACAUCAAAUGAAAUCUCCUAUCCAAGUCUCAUACUCCAAUACGAAGGAAAGUCUGAUCACCUCUAAAGAAUAUACAUGACUCAUAAUCUGCCAUCGACUGAGAGAAACACGCCUCUGUAUAAGGCUCACCAUAUCAAACCAUCCAACCAUAUCUCAUACUCAAAUGUGAAAGAAAUGUCAACUACCUCCAAAGAAUGGCUAUGACUCAAUGUAAACUAUCACCCCAAAAAUCCAUCAUCGUUUGAGGAGGUAUGCCCCUGUGUAAACAUAUCGAAUCAAUCAACACCAAUGAGGGGGUAUGUCCCAACAUAGUAAUAUCAAAUGAAAUCAUCCAUCUCAUACUCCAAUAUGAAGGAGAUGUCUAAUCUCCUCUAAAGAAUGAGCACCUCUCAAUGUAACCUAUCAUCUCAAAAAUCCAUCACUAGCUGAAAAUGCAUGCCCCAGUGUAAUACAUCGGACAAAGUGGCUACAUAUCCAACAAAACUCUCUAAGGUGGCUAUGCCCCAGUGUGAGGUCAUGCCAUAUCUAAUGAUCCAUCAUAAUCUGACCAAUCUCUAAUCAAUCUCAAGUAUCGCUCAUGUGUGAACUAUCAAACACAAUGUAUGAUCUCGUAGCCUCAAGGUGGACUUAAGACACGGGACGUAACGUAGGUUAGGGUGAUAAGGUGAAGAAAUGAAGGGAAACUAGGCUCAAAUACCCAAUGACCAAACCCAUACCCUCAUGUAUCAAAAUGCAAUAUGUGCAGAAAAUCUCAUAAACCAUGAACCUAAGGACGCCUAACAUGGAUGUAUCAAUGAGGAAUAAAGAUAUUUAAUGUGAAUGUAUCGAUAAUGAAAUGAAAGAAAGAAAUAACAUCGGGCCAAAAAGGAAUAGCAUUGAUGUAAUAGAAAUAUCAAAUAUAGGAUGUGGAUGGAUAUGAAUGAAAAACGAUGAAGACAAGGUGAAUGAAAUAGAGUGUGAAGAAUAAUGGGUCGGAAAGAAAUCAAAUGAGCACUGAUUUGCUCAAAUCAAGACAUGGAGAAUGGUCAAAUCACCAAUGGAUGAAAUGAUAAAAGAGACAAUAAUCCAGAGUCCUUAGGAAAAGGUCAUUCGUCUCUCUCACGCACAAAGCGUACAAGACAAACCCCAAGAGGUGAGGGAUUAGAGAGCUCACAUACGAACUCUCAUCAAUAAAUGAACUCAAUAAAACAAUCCUCAAUGACUACCACAGGCUCAAUAGAGUAAGACAAUACAUACAUAUAUACACCCCCGCUUUUUUUUUUUUUUUUUUUUUUUUGCGCAUAAUUUCAAUACAUGGGCUUCAAUGAGAAUGCAUAAUGACGUGGUAACUUUUUUUUCUUUUUCUUUUUUUUGUGCAUAAUCUGAAUAUCAAUACACGGGCUCCAAUGAGAAUACAUAAUGACAUGGAUAACUUUUUUUUUUUUUUUUUUUUUUUUUGCGCAUAAUCUGGAUAUCAAUACAUGGGCUCCAAUGAGAAUACAUGAUGACAUGGAUAAUUCUCAAACAAUGAUGUAAACUCUCACUGACAAGAUAACCUUCUCAACUAAGGAUCUCUGGAUCAAUGUCCAUAGGAUGGAAUGUAAGUGGUGAUAUGAUUGUACUCCAUGCAAUGAAAUGUGAAAAAUCGGUACUCAAGGAAUGAAAAGAAACGAAGUAAAUCAAAUGAUAAGGAAGUCAACAAGAUGGAACAAAGGACACAAAUAGUGGGAAUAAUGAAACAUGGAUAUCAUGGGGAUAACAAAAUAGUGAAGCAAAUAUGUCAAUAAGUCCAAGGCUCCUGAAACUCCUGAACAAAGCAUAUGUACAUCAGAGGGCCCCUAUCCCGGUGUAAAGGUGAGCAAGGCUAUAAGAAAGAAAAAGGCCAAGAUGUUCAUGCGAGGCUCAAAAGGCUAGCAACGGUCUAAAUGUUAAUAAAGGUGAUAAGGUAUAAGCUGACCGAAAUGAUGGCCACCCAUCCUGCGACCACAAUUCCAAACAUUGUGCUCUCAAACUAUCACAUGAUCAACACUAAAGAUCAAUGUCCAUCCAAUGUAACUGUGUCAACCCUCUAAAUCAUAUAAAAAAAAUCUCACUCUGAAUGCACCAUAGUAGAGUAAAAAAUAAUUCUCUCAACAGUAGAAUAGUCAACAAUGUCAUCCAGUAAACAUGAGGCACCAUCAUCCUCUCAUAAUGUCGACCCCAAUAACCAUGCCAGUCCACUGGAUUCAUGUGUAGAAGCUCAAUCUGAAUACUCAACAAUGAACUCAAAGAUGAUCCUCUCAAUGAUAGAAUAGACAAAGACCUCAUCAACCACAACCUCCCAUCACAAUCCAACGGUCAUCAUGGAAUAUCAACCUCUAUAGUCAAGCCAACCUCCUGAAAUCAUGCAUAUGGGUCUAAUUUGGAUGCUCCAUAAUGAUCUCAAAGAUGAUCCUCUCACCCAAAUAGUAAUAAGUGAUCUCAUAAAGCGAUCUAAGUACUCUUGCCAUAAUCCACUAAUCAUCCCCUCAUUGUGCAAAGCUCAUCUCCAGUCUGGUCUCCUCAAACUCUACCUGGUCGAGUCAGAAAAUGGAUAAAAGGAACAGAUAAUGUUGUUAUGCAAGGAUAUGUAGGGAUGGAAAGGUCGAGUGAUAAUGAGGUGAGGAGUGAUGCUACAUAAGGCUCAGAAUAAGUGAGCACACAAGAAUAGAAGAUGUGGAAAUGGGUAGGUACUACUCUCAUCAUAAGAUAGAUGAGUCACAAUCUUGAAUUUUUUGGUUUAGGAUCCUGGUCCAAGGUCAAAAAGCUCAAUGUCCUCCAUGAUGGGUCAGACCUCAAGAUCAUAAUAUGCAAAAGUGAAGAGAUGGCUAAUGUCUAAAGAUCUAACACAACACACAUAGUGUGGUCCUGUGAUGAUAAUCAAAAUCUGGAUUUAUGAUAGAGACUCUAGAGUCAUAAGGGUGUCCAUUAUGAGAUGGCUACAAAUCUAAUUAAAGAAUUUCUAUCAAUAAUCCAAAAAAUGAGUGAGGUGUGAAGAACAACACUAUCACGGGACCAAUACUCUAUCUAUAACAAGACAUACCUGAUUCACUUUCAACCCAAGUUCCAUAAAAAAAAUGAUAAGGUGAUCAAGGCAAACCCUCAAAAAAUGUAUGAAUGUGAAAACAAGCCUUUUACCUUUCUCUAAUAAAAAUGAUAACCAUCAGGGUAAAAAUAAAAUCAAGUGAAUCAAUCAAAUGAUAAAGUAUCUGGCCCAUGAUAAGUAUAGGAUGUAAAAAAGUGAUCAUGAUCGAUAAGCAUAUCAUAAAGUAUCAAUCGCGAUGACAACAAACUAAAGAAUGCUAACUCAAAAAGGAGAGAACUGAAUAAGAUACAACACAAGGGAAGCACGAAAAAAGUACUUUGAUCUGAACAAUAGGCAAAAAACCAAUAUGGCACAAUAAACUCGUCCACUGAAACUCAAAAAACCACCAAACUCUGAACAUACCAAACAGAGGGAGUAUUGGAUCCUAACUAUGAUUAGAAUGACCUCUGAAGGCCCUCAGAUGCACCCAUGUGUAGGAUGGAAAUUCCUAAUAAAAUGAUCUAAGCACAACCUAUAAGGACAAGGUGGGCUCUAAAAAAUAAGUGGGUGGGUUAAGGGAAUCCCUAGCACAAGUGAUCGUACCCUCCGGGGCGGUAUGCAACCCUCUGCACGCCACCGAAAAGACAGGGUGCUUCCAUGCAAGGUGGUCAUCACCUCCACACAUGCACUUCGUCACACCCCAAGGGGUUUCCUAUGGUGAAGGCUCUCCUACUGGCUAGCGCAUCUCACAACUCUCAAUCACUCAAAGACAAUCUAAUGUGCACAGUGAAAGGCUUGGGUGCAUCCGAAAAACCUAUCAUCUAAAGCAAGAAAAUAAAACAUAAACAAACAAUCAUGCAUCAAACAAGAGGAAGAUAGUCAUGCAACAAUCAGUCAGGCAAUACAAGUAUAAAUCAUCCAUCUAUAAUAUUUGAAUUAAGCAAAGAUACGAUAAUCUAAUAAAAAAUAUGCCUAGAUCAUUCAUCAUGCUAUGGUAUAAUAAUCAUGCGAUAAGAGUAUAACCAAAUCAUGUCAAGACAAACACAAUAGACAAAUGAAGCAACCAUAAGUAAGCAUCGUAAUCUAAUUUGCAUCAUAGAUACUUAUAGUAUCAAAAAAUCUUCAAUGUGCCAUUCUACACUCAAUCAUACAAAGGCACAAAGAAGGGUUAUCCACUAAUUGACCAAUCAAACCCCACAUUUACCUCAACCUAAGUUCAAGCUUCACUUUCUAUGAUCCCUAACAGAGUCGCCACUUUGUGAUCCCGCAUUUUCACAUGCGUUCCCACUCGAUGGCGAGACUCACUUUUUGUUUAUGAAAAACUAAUUUUUAAAUAAUGAAGUUGCCACUUAUUUUUGUUUUAGUUUUUAAAGAGCAAACAAAAUAACAACGAAAAGUCCCAAAUGUGACUCCUAAAAGAAAAGGCAAGUCUGUGAAAACCAAUGAUGAAAAUAUCAGUAUUUCAAUUUUACGGAUAUAUCAGAUGUAUCGACAGAUAUUUGGGAAAAAAAUUUCGAUAGACCUACAAUUGAUUAAAACUUAUGAAAAUAUUGAGAAAAACUUUAAAAAUGAUAUAAUAAACAAUAAUAGACACUUUAAAGUUGUUUUAUAAAAAAAAAACGAUAUAUGUAUAUAUAAUUAAUCAUAUUUAAUAAUAAUAUCGUAUGCAUCGAUAAAAAAUAUGAAUUUUAUAAAUAUAUAUUUAUUAUUGAAUUACAUUAAAUAUUGUUCGAAAAUAAUAUUGUGAUAUGUGAUUAUAAUAUAUUUAAUUUUAAAAUUAUAAUUCAUUUAAUAUUUAUAUUUAAUUAAUAUAUAAUAAAAAAAACUUUUAAGAAAAAUUAUAAUGAUAGUUUUUAUAUUUUUAGUAAUUAAUUAAAUGAAAUUUAAAAAUAAAAUAAUUAGAAUUCAUUUGUUUAUUAAAAUUCUUUUAAUAUUUUGUUUUAUGAUAGUUAUACUAUAUAUUUAUCUAGUGCUCAUAUUUUAACAAAUGACAAGUUAGACUAGUGGUCAACCAGGGCUGUUUGGUUUUGGUUUGGGCUCAAGUUCGAGCCCCAACACCUACGCAACAAUUUGAUAUUUUGGAGGGUUUGACUGUUUGACUGCACAUUGACCAGGCCACUACACGUUGAUUGAACCGAAAUAUCGGCAAAAACAUCAAUAAAUCAGUAAAAAUCCGAUAUUUCAACGAUUUUUCAGGGAAAAUCGUCAAUUUUUUAUGAUAUUUCUUCCCAUUUUUUGUAUCGCCCCUUGCCGAAACACAAAAUUUCGAUGAAACUUCCUUGAUUUUUUCUGAAAUUUUCAUCAAUGGUAAAAACCAAGUUGGGCCCGGAGAUCAGGUUACUUAUUGGAAAAGUACAAUGAACAACCGUAAUACCCCUCUAAGCCCUAAAAGCUAAGUCUCUACUAAGUAAGAUAAAGUAAUUAUGGCAAUUAAUGGGUAAAUCAGUGGAUACCAUGGAUCAAAGUAUAUGUUAAAACAUGCACUCUCAAUAAGCAAUAAUCACAGAAAGUGACGAACGUACCUUUAUAAUUUGUUAAGCGCUUCCAUAAAACAAGAAGAUUAGUUCACAGGCAACAAUGUCAUAACAUAUACUAAAAUCCUCAUCACUAAAAGAUUGAUUUAUAUCUUCUAAUUGGGUUAUUAUUUUUGCCUCAAACAAAACCUUAAAAUCAAAUUCAAUAAGUUUACAACACCAUGGAAUAAUUAGAAAAAUUUUAAAGAGUUUCUAAAUGGUCAAAUUCAAAUUUACAAGUUCAAGGGUAUAAUGAACUAUCAACAAUGUUAGUAAAAAAACAUAUUUUGGAAAACUCUGUAUGUAGGGAUCCAUCGAAUCCCAUUUUAAUUUCCACGAAUUCAUCCAUAAAGACUCCAUUGAUUGGAGUUAUGAAUUUUAAUUCGUAUUUAUUCAAAACCAAAACUCAUUUUUAAAACUUUUGAAAGUUGCAUACCGAAUAAAAAAGGUAGAAUGGUCUUUUAGAAAGUAAACUUUUCAUUACCUAAUUGAUCUAAGAUUAAUUUAAAUAUAGAACUUUGAGAACUCAUUUUGUUUUAGGAGCAAUCGAAAACAUUUUUUAAAAAUCAUUAAAACACAUGGGAAUCGAGAACCACUAGAAAGAACCUAAAGACAAGUGUGUGUGUGUGUCUAUGUGUGUGUGUGUGCGUGCUAGAAUUAGGCGAUCUGAUGUAUGAAUUAUGACUUCUUGUAUGAACUAAGCUUGCAGCCAUUUAAGUAGUUUAUUGUGUCCUAUUUUGAUUUCAAAUCCCAAUAUCGAAAGACUCCUAAAUAAAGGUUUAAAUAAAUCCAAUAUAAGAUCAACUAUUUAAAUGUUAAAUGUAUAUCAAAUCAUAGAUAAAAAGUGUUUUAAACAUAAGCUAAUUGUAAUCUAACACAUGGAACAAAUUUAAAUUGUAUAAAUGAUUAAUUAGGUCUGAAUUAAACGCUAAAAUAAAUGCCUAAAGGGCCCUAAGUGAGUAUCCAAUUAAAUCAUACAAUUUCCUCUUUAAGUAACAUGCAUGUAUGUGAAUUAUGAAAUGUGGAUUCCCAAGAAUCAACUAAACAAAAAUACAUAAAAUCAAAUCCUCAUAAAUCAAAAUAAAAAUCAUGAUUUCAAAGCCAAUUAUCAUAGGAUUAUCAAACGGCUUUAUUAGGUAAAAACUUAGGUUAAAUCAAAUCAAAAUUCCAUUCUAAACCAUGAAACAACAAAGAUCAUUCACACAUUGACCUAAACAAUGGAUUCUAGCAACACUCAUGUGUUGCCCGGUUUGUCCACACCCAAUCCUAAUCUUGAAUAAUUAAAACCAAAGAGAGUUAAUAAAAGAAAAUGAGCAAAACCAAGAUUAAAAUUCAGUGAACUUAUCACAACCUUCUUGAAAAGAUCAAAACUGAAAACUUCUUGAAAAGUCUUCAUGAUUGAGAAGUGAAGCCUUUUUCUUCCCUCCAAUGCUUUCCACGUGAUCUCCUCAUGACCUCAUAAAGAAUCCUUGCAUCCAUUAAAAAGGUGUUCCCAUGUGAAAGAAAAAAAGACAAAACUAAAGUUAGUGCAUGUGAAAGACAAAAUUAAAAAAGACUAUUUAAAAAAAUAAAUAAAUAAACAAAUAAAUAAAAUAAUUUUAUGUCAACCAAAAAUUAAAGUUCAAAUUCAUAAAACUAAGAUCAAAUAUUAGGUACAUGCAAUCAAACAUAAAAAAUGUCAAUUUCAUGCAAAUCAAGAUCAAAUCCUACAACCAUGCAAUAGAAAAAGAAACCUAAACCUAAAUGCAUUAGAAAUCAAAUAAAACUUAGACAAAAAUCGUAAACUAAAAAAAAAAAAAGUGUCAUUGAGCAAGCACACUAAGGAUCCCUAAAAAGUCCCCCAAGGUAUCUCCAAUAAAAAACCAAAGGUAAUGACUGAAAGAGUCGACCACCGAAAAGAGCUUAAAAAUAGCUUAGAAAAUGACCAUAAGAUCAUUAACAAGUAACAAAAAAUGAAUAAGGGCAAAGUUGGGCAUCAUGUACCAAGAGGACAAAAUGAAGGGUCUACACCAACUAAUCCAGAGCUACUUAUGUUGUGUUUAUUAAUAAACAUAAUCACCAAUAAAUAAAGUAUUUCUCUUUGUUUGCAGUAUCUCUUUUUGGUCCAAAAUUCAAACAUCAUUUUACACAGAAAAAAAGUGUAAUGUCUGUGCAAGUGGCAGAGUGAGAACUACACAACUACAGUGCAUUCUGUCAUCCAAUUUACAUGUAAGCUCUCAAUAGAAAAUAAAUUCUGUUAAAAUUUUUUUGCCAUAAGCAUGACACUACUUAAUCUUGCUUAUGAUCAUGGUUCUCUCUCAUUUUUUAUUUUUAUUUUUUCUAGUGGUAAAAUAAACCAUUUUGUUAUUCCACUGUUAUCAGAAUCAGAAUAUAUGUAUAAGUUGCAUGUUUGACAGAAUACCAUACUUGAAAUGGUACAGCUAUAGUAAAGAAUUCAGUUAAGAGGACCUUACUUCUUAGGAGGCUGGUUGGAUUUUUCUACCAAAAGGUCCCUUAUCUUCUCAUUGUAAACCUCGAACAUGCUAACAAACAAUUCAUAAUUUAUUAUGUUGCUUCUCUCCCUUGAAAUUCGGAACAACUCCUCCAGAGUCCUGUAGUUGACUCACCUAUUUUCUGGAGUUCCUUCCAUUGUAAAGGUCUUUCAAGUUCCAGUUUGUCCAUAGGCAAAUAUACAGACAUUGUACCCAACCAGCAUGGAAGUCACAAUUGGUGAAGUUUGUGCAAAAAGAGCCUCUGCAUAUUUAACAUACCUGGAAUUAAAAACUUCUAAACAGUGCAAGACCAAUUAACUAAUUAAUCCAGAGUAACAAAAUCAAGUAUCAAUUUGUUCAGGUUACCUUGGUUUUGUUCAGGUUACCUUGGUCACUCCCAGGCCUGAACACAUGGUCGAACUUAAAUUGCUUCUUUGAAGAAUCAGAGCAAAUGAUUUGAAGCUCAUUUUCUCGAGAUGACUCAAAAUCAACUAUAGAAGUAGAUCCAUUAGCCAUUUCAGCUUGAUUUCAGGGUCUACAUCUGCAGAAGACCCUGAUGUUGCCUUUGAGUUAAAUAACUUCAUUGUACAGCCGCUUCUGUUCCAAGCACUCUUUCAAGGCACUUCUUCUUCAGAAGCUAACUCUCUUCCAAAUGUUUCUUCUACAAAUUUUCAUACUCAAUACCUAAAAUCAAAUAAAGCAACUCACAAACCAAUCAAAGCCCCCUUAGAAGAAGGAUAUAGAAUAUCAGUAGUAGCUAGUGAAGAAGACAUACCGAAAAACAGAAGGGCAUUGUAAACUUCAGGCCCGGGAGAGGAAUCUGCAUUAAUGCUCUUCACUUCAUUACAUAAAAUUGUGUCCCCCUUCACAGUCUGUCACAUGAAGAUUCAAACUCGAUGACAAAUAAAUGAAGAUGAACUUUCUUAUGACACAAAACAUCCAAGCUCUGAUUGGUUGCUAAGAAAAGGCAGGAAAAGAGAAGUAAAAUUCCUGAAUCUUUAAUUUUGCAUUACUCUGCUUACUUAAAACGUGUUGCUCAUAUUUUUUGACAAACCUAAAUUAUGUAAAAUAAAAGAUUCAAAAUUUUCUCUUAGGUCACCCUAAUCUGAGCUUUCUCAGCAUCUAAAGAUUAUGGUUAGGCUAUAAUUACCAAAACCGUACCCGAGUCUUCAUCAAUUUUCUGAGAAACCGGAAGUCUCUGGUUAUGAUCCAAAGAAAUUUCUUGGAUUUAUUUCCAUGGAAACAUCAUUCUCAUCCAUCUUGUCCCAAUUCAGUUCAACUUUUUCCUGGAGCAACAUCCAAAACCCUUGAUCAACACACACAUCACAGAACCCCAAAACCAACAGACUAGAAUUUCAAAUUCCCAUCACUUCAGAGUUAAGACCCAAGAAAACAAAAACCACCACUCAACUGCACCUAACACGACCACCUGACUGACAUUUUCUCAAUUUCUUGAACCCAACAAAAUAAGUUCCUCGGAUUUCUCCUCCACAUUCCCAGCAUCCAAACAGUGCUCAAAACAACCAAAUGAAAGAACAAACUACUCAAGAAUUCGAUACUGCAGACACCCAAACAUCUUCUCGAACUCAAAAAUCCAAGAAGACCAAAACAAUUACCGUUUCUAGGGUUUAUGCUUCUUAAAUCAAAGAAACAAAAACAAAAACAAAAACAUAAAAGAAGAAACUUUAUACAUAAAAGAAGAAACUUUAUUCAGAAAUUGAACAAAGCCCUGUGAUCUGAGAGCAAUGCGAUCGGAAAAGCGAUGACGUUUCGCAGAUCGAUGAGUUGGAAGAAGAGAGAAAGGGUGGAAUUGAUGAAAAGGAAAAGCAGAGAAGACGGUGGAUUCCUCAACGGUCACAUAGGGUUUUUAUAAGUUUGAAUUUAAUGAAUGUGGGCUGUUGGACCGGGAGAGAUUGCGCCAACGGCUAUAACUUUGGCACCUUUUUUUUGGAAAUUUUUUCAAUGGAAACGGUAAUUUCCUAUUGUUUCUAAAUUCGGUAUGCCACGUCACCAAAUUGGGAUGCCACGUCACCUAAUUUUGGAUGCCACGUCGCCUAGUAGGUGGGGUGCCACGUCCCCUAAUGUUUGGAAAAAUGUAGGUAAAUGAACUGAUAUAAUAUAAGAUUCAUUUUCUCAGGAACCAAACAGUGGAGGGAAAAGGGAAGAAACUGAGAGAAGUGUGAGACUAUUGCUUGCAUCUGAGACUAGUUCUGAGAUAACCUCUGGUACUCCGAGGGCUUAGACUCUCCCCAGAUACGACCUUUGUUCCACCUGCAACUGUGUACUGAAGCUCUUGUAAUCGAGCCAUGCAUUCAUCCACCUGAAUUGCACCCAACAAAAACAAAAAAACACAGACCCAGAAGUUAGGGAGAGAGAGAUGUGAAUGCAAAUCUCUGUUUGGUUGCUGAGAAAAUUAAGGCAAGAAAACCCCAGAGAAGGCAGUGCACUGGACGAGAGUUGCUCAAACCCCAUUAAUGAGAAAUGCUCAAAAUUAUACAAACAUCCAACCCAGUACGAGAGUUCCUCUUUUGAUCUCACUAUGGUUUAUGACCAUAAAGGCCGUGCUCCUAUAUGCCUAGAGCUGCUAGGCCUAAUUACUUUAAGUUCAAGAAGUUCAGAGGUCUGUGCUAGGCCUAAUUAUUUAAUUUAUACUCAAUAUAUGAGUUGACAUCUUAUUUGCCUCUGACUCAAAUAGAUUUUCUUUACCUUUAACAGAUGAUAUGAAUGAUAAAAAUAAUAAUAAAUUAUUUGGAUUUGAUGUUCAUGAUAAUAAUUAUAAUACACAUGGCUAAAAAUUUUAAUUAUGACCUAUUUGGUAAUGUUUUUUUUAAAAAAAAAAAUUCUUAAUGAUUAUUUGAACAAAAUUUUGUCUGAGAAUUCAAACAUGAAAAACAAUUUUUUAGCUAACAUACUGUAAAAAGUUUUAGAGAUUUUUAUAGUUUUAAUUGUUUUUUAGAAUGCUGUAAAAAAUUAAGUUGGAAAAUAUCCAACAAUUUCUUACUUUAUUUUAUUUUUAAAAUAAGAUAUUUAUCAUAAAUUUUGUUAACCUAUGUAAUAACAUAAUCUGUUGAUAAAAAAGAUAAAUUUUGAAAUGAAAUGUUUAAUAUUAAUAUAAAGUUAAACCUACGAGGAUUAUCUAAUGAAUCAGGGUGAAUAUUGGGAAGUGUGAACCCACGGUUAUAAAAAAUAAUAAUAUAAAGUUAAAUUUUUUUAAACAUAAAAUAAUUUAUAUAUAAUAAAAUAAAUAGAAUCAAUCAAGUAUAAAUUAAUAGUAGUGUCAAGCAAAUUUCAAUAUUUGAAAGUAAAACACAUUACAUUUAUAAAAUAGUUGAAAUUUUACCCAUAAUAUGCAUUUAUUAAAAUUAUCUCUUUCCUAACCCUUACUGACAAUGUUGAAUGGUAUCCUUUGCCUCGGGCAGGGCUUUCACCUGUUAAACAUAACUUCAAAUUCUUCUUGGCCUUAACUUCAUUAGAUCUCACAAAGGAGGACUCCUAUUAAUUGGAGAUUUCCUUUCAUUCUUCAAGCGAGUAUCCACCACACCCACUGAUUUCCUUUUAAGUCAACAACUUUCAUUAGAGUUGACAGGUAAGCAUGGUGGGCCUAAACAAACACCACCGCAUUUCACACUACAAUUCGGCACUAUAACUGUACCUUCUAAUAGUCUUUCUUCUAAGGGUUAUGCUAAGGUACCGAAAAGUGGUUUUUCGGUACCAUACCCACUUUUUUGGGCUCACAAGAUGAAGACACAUGGCAUGGAAAAAUAAUAAAAAAAGUAAACAAAACCAAUUCUUCAGGUUGGUAACCGGUUGCCAUGGGAAUUAAUCCCAUGCAACACACAUUUUUACAUCCAUUACAAUAACCAAUUAUAAAUUCCUGUUUAAUGUAAUUAUUUUGUUUGGGGAAUUUUUUUUGUGCAACAGAAAAAUAAAGAGAAAUUUGAAAAAAUAAAUAGCAGUUUUUUUUUUGUAAUAUAAAGUGAUUAAACCCAAGAUAAAAAUUAAAUUUUAAAUAAAAAAAAAUUCAAACUAAUUUGGUGAUAAAAUUUAUAAAUUAAGGAAAAGUAAAUAUAAUUUAUUUUAACAUCAAAUAAUUUGUUGACAAAUUUUGAAAAAUAUUUGAAGUGUGAAAAGCAAUAUAAUUUGUUUAUGAAGUGAAAAAAAAAAGAAAAAAUAUAAAUAAAUGAGAUAAAAUAUAAAUAUUAAAUUUAUAUUAAAUUAAUUGUGUACUAAUUAUUAAUUGAUAAUAUAUGACCAAAUUAUUUCUUAGCGUUUAAAUUGAAUUACAGAAAAAAAUUAGUUGAAAUAUUGAAAAUACGAAAAAUGUAUAAUUACUAACCAUAUGGAAAUCAAAACGCCUCACAAUAUUUUUUCGUACAUUUCCAUUUUGAAUUUUGAAGAAUCCAUUUCACACCCUCAUACAAGCGGAAAAUGGUGAGGAUUUCUCACAGUCUUCGUACCCCGUCCAAUUUUAUAAUAUUUUUGGAUUUGGAUUUUUCCGGGACUCAUUCAAACACCGCCUAAGUGGAAUCAACCUAUUUAAACAAUAUCCAAGGCAAAUGAAGUCCAAAAAAAAUUUUAAAACUUCAAAGAAGUGGAGAUUUGGGAGAGUAUGAAGAAUGUGAGGAUUCCUCACAUUCUGCGUACCUUGUCUAAUUUUUUAAUAUUUUUGGCUUUUAAUUUUACCGGGACUCAUUCGAACACCACCUAAGUGGAAUCAACCUAUUUAAGCAAUAUCCAAGGCAUAUGAUGUCCAAAAAAAUUUUAAAAAUUCCAAAUAAGUGGAGAUUUGGGAGGGUACGAAGAAUGUGAGGAUUCCUCACAUUCUUCGUACCCUUGUGAAUUUUUUAGUAUUUUUAGAUUUCGAUUUUUUCGGAUAUCAUUUGACCACCUUCUAAGUGUAACGAACCUAUUUAAGCAAGAUCCAAGCCAUAUGAUGCCCCAAAAAUUUUUAAAAAGCCCAAAGAAGUGGAGAUUUGGGAGGGUACAAAGAAUGUGAGGAUUCCUCACAUUCUUCGUACCCUUGUGAAUUUUUUAGUAAUUUUGGAUUUCGAUUUUUCCGGAUAUCAUUUGACCACCUUCUAAGUGUAACGGACCUAUUCAAGCAACAUCCAAACCAUAGGAUACCCCAAAAAAUUUUAAAAAGUCCAAAGAAGUGGAUAUUUGGGAGGGUACGAAGAAUGUGAGGAUUCCUCACAUUCUUCGUACCCUUGUGAAUUGUGAAUUUUUUAGUAUUUUUCGAUUUCGAUUUUUCCUGGAUGNNNNNNNNNNNNNNNNNNNNNNNNNNNNNNNNNNNNNNNNNNNNNNNNNNNNNNNNNNNNNNNNNNNNNNNNNNNNNNNNNNNNNNNNNNNNNNNNNNNNCCCAAAAAAAUUUUAAAAAGUCCAAACAAGUGGAGAUUUGGGAGGGUACGAAGAAAUGUGAGGAUUCCUCACAUUCUUCGUACCCUUGUGAAUUUUUUAGUAUUUUUGGAUUUCGAUUUUUCCGGAUAUCAUUUGACCACCUUCUAAGUGUAACGGACCUAUUCAAGCAACAUCCAAGCCAUAGGAUGCCCCAAAAAAUUUUAAAAAGUCCAAAGAAGUGGAGAUUUGGGAGGGUACGAAGAAUGUGAGGAUUCCUCACAUUCUUCGUACCCUUGUGAAUUUUUUAGUAUUUUUCGAUUUCGAUUUUUCCGGAUGUCAUUUGACCACCUUCUAAGUGUAACGCACCUACUUAAACAACAUCCAAGCCAUAUGAUGGCCCAAAAAUUUUAAAAAAGCCCAAACAAGUGGAGAUUUGGGAGGGUACGAAGAAUGUGAGGAUUCCUCACAUUCUUCGUACCCUUGUGAAUUUUUUAGUAUUUUUCGAUUUCGAUUUUUCCGGAUGUCAUUUGACCACCUUAUAAGUGUAACGCACCUACUUAAACAACAUCCAAGUCAUAUGAUGGCCCAAAAAUUUUUAAAAAGCCCAAACAAGUGGAGAAUUGGGAGGGUNNNNNNNNNNNNNNNNNNNNNNNNNNNNNNNNNNNNNNNNNNNNNNNNNNNNNNNNNNNNNNNNNNNNNNNNNNNNNNNNNNNNNNNNNNNNNNNNNNNNCGAAGAAUGUGAGGAUUCCUCACAUUCUUCGUACCCUUGUGAAUUUUUUAGUAUUUUUCGAUUUCGAUUUUUCCGGAUGUCAUUGACCACCUUCUAAGUGUAACGCACCUACUUAAGCAACAUCCAAGCCAUAUGAUGCCCCAAAAAAUUUUAAAAAGCCCAAACAAGUGGAGAUUUGGGAGGGUACGAAGAAUGUGAGGAUUCCUCACAUUCUUCGUACCCUUGUGAAUUUUUUAGUAUUUUUCGAUUUCGAUUUUUCCGGAUGUCAUUUGACCACCUUAUAAGUGUAACGCACCUACUUAAACAACAUCCAAGCCAUAUGAUGCUCCAAAAAUUUUAAAAAAGCCCAAACAAGUGGAGAAUUGGGAGGGCACGAACAAUGUGAGGAUUCCUCACUUUCUUCGUACCCUUGUGAAUUUUUUAGUAUUUUUCGAUUUCGAUUUUUCCGGAUAGCAUUUGACCACCUUCUAAGUGUAACGGACCUAUUCAAGCAACAUCCAAGCCAUAGGAUGCCCCAAAAAAUUUUAAAAAGUCCAAACAAGUGGAGAUUUGGGAAGGUACGAAGAAUGUGAGGAUUCCUCACAUUCCUCGUACACUUGGGAAUUUUUUAGUAUUUUUGGAUUCCGAUUUUUCCGGAUGUCAUUUGACCACCUUCUAAGUGUAACGAACUUACUUAAACAACAUCCAAGCCAUAUGAUGCCCCACAAAUUUUGAAAAAGUUCAAACAAGUGGAGAAUUGGGAGGGUACGAAGAAUGUGAGGAUUCCUCACAUUCUUCGUACCCUUGUGAAUUUUUUAGUAUUUUUCGAUUUCGAUUUUUCCGGAUGGCAUUUGACCACCUUCUAAGUGUAACGGACCUAUUUAAGCAACAUCCAAGCCAUAUGAUGCCCCAAAAAAUUUUAAAAAGUCCAAACAAGUGGAGAUUUUGGAGGGUACGAAGAAUGUGAGGAUUCCUCACAUUCUUCGUACCCUUGGGAAUUUUUUAGUANNNNNNNNNNNNNNNNNNNNNNNNNNNNNNNNNNNNNNNNNNNNNNNNNNNNNNNNNNNNNNNNNNNNNNNNNNNNNNNNNNNNNNNNNNNNNNNNNNNNNNNNNNNNNNNNNNNNNNNNNNNNNNNNNNNNNNNNNNNNNNNNNNNNNNNNNNNNNNNNNNNNNNNNNNNNNNNNNNNNNNNNNNNNNNNNNNNNNNNNNNNNNNNNNNNNNNNNNNNNNNNNNNNNNNNNNNNNNNNNNNNNNNNNNNNNNNNNNNNNNNNNNNNNNNNNNNNNNNNNNNNNNNNNNNNNNNNNNNNNNNNNNNNNNNNNNNNNNNNNNNNNNNNNNNNNNNNNNNNNNNNNNNNNNNNNNNNNNNNNNNNNNNNNNNNNNNNNNNNNNNNNNNNNNNNNNNNNNNNNNNNNNNNNNNNNNNNNNNNNNNNNNNNNNNNNNNNNNNNNNNNNNNNNNNNNNNNNNNNNNNNNNNNNNNNNNNNNNNNNNNNNNNNNNNNNNNNNNNNNNNNNNNNNNNNNNNNNNNNNNNNNNNNNNNNNNNNNNNNNNNNNNNNNNNNNNNNNNNNNNNNNNNNNNNNNNNNNNNNNNNNNNNNNNNNNNNNNNNNNNNNNNNNNNNNNNNNNNNNNNNNNNNNNNNNNNNNNNNNNNNNNNNNNNNNNNNNNNNNNNNNNNNNNNNNNNNNNNNNNNNNNNNNNNNNNNNNNNNNNNNNNNNNNNNNNNNNNNNNNNNNNNNNNNNNNNNNNNNNNNNNNNNNNNNNNNNNNNNNNNNNNNNNNNNNNNNNNNNNNNNNNNNNNNNNNNNNNNNNNNNNNNNNNNNNNNNNNNNNNNNNNNNNNNNNNNNNNNNNNNNNNNNNNNNNNNNNNNNNNNNNNNNNNNNNNNNNNNNNNNNNNNNNNNNNNNNNNNNNNNNNNNNNNNNNNNNNNNNNNNNNNNNNNNNNNNNNNNNNNNNNNNNNNNNNNNNNNNNNNNNNNNNNNNNNNNNNNNNNNNNNNNNNNNNNNNNNNNNNNNNNNNNNNNNNNNNNNNNNNNNNNNNNNNNNNNNNNNNNNNNNNNNNNNNNNNNNNNNNNNNNNNNNNNNNNNNNNNNNNNNNNNNNNNNNNNNNNNNNNNNNNNNNNNNNNNNNNNNNNNNNNNNNNNNNNNNNNNNNNNNNNNNNNNNNNNNNNNNNNNNNNNNNNNNNNNNNNNNNNNNNNNNNNNNNNNNNNNNNNNNNNNNNNNNNNNNNNNNNNNNNNNNNNNNNNNNNNNNNNNNNNNNNNNNNNNNNNNNNNNNNNNNNNNNNNNNNNNNNNNNNNNNNNNNNNNNNNNNNNNNNNNNNNNNNNNNNNNNNNNNNNNNNNNNNNNNNNNNNNNNNNNNNNNNNNNNNNNNNNNNNNNNNNNNNNNNNNNNNNNNNNNNNNNNNNNNNNNNNNNNNNNNNNNNNNNNNNNNNNNNNNNNNNNNNNNNNNNNNNNNNNNNNNNNNNNNNNNNNNNNNNNNNNNNNNNNNNNNNNNNNNNNNNNNNNNNNNNNNNNNNNNNNNNNNNNNNNNNNNNNNNNNNNNNNNNNNNNNNNNNNNNNNNNNNNNNNNNNNNNNNNNNNNNNNNNNNNNNNNNNNNNNNNNNNNNNNNNNNNNNNNNNNNNNNNNNNNNNNNNNNNNNNNNNNNNNNNNNNNNNNNNNNNNNNNNNNNNNNNNNNNNNNNNNNNNNNNNNNNNNNNNNNNNNNNNNNNNNNNNNNNNNNNNNNNNNNNNNNNNNNNNNNNNNNNNNNNNNNNNNNNNNNNNNNNNNNNNNNNNNNNNNNNNNNNNNNNNNNNNNNNNNNNNNNNNNNNNNNNNNNNNNNNNNNNNNNNNNNNNNNNNNNNNNNNNNNNNNNNNNNNNNNNNNNNNNNNNNNNNNNNNNNNNNNNNNNNNNNNNNNNNUUGGGAGGGUACGAAGAAUGUGAGGAAUCCUCACAUUCUUCGUACCCUUGUGAAUUUUUUAGUAUUUUUCGAUUUCGAUUUUUCCGGAUGUCAUUUGACCACCUUAUAAGUGUAACGCACCUACUUAAACAACAUCCAAGCCAUAUGAUGCUCCAAAAAUUUUAAAAAAGCCCAAACAAGUGGAGAUUUGGGAGGGUACGAACAAUGUGAGGAUUCCUCACAUUCUUCGUACCCUUGUGAAUUUUUUAGUAUUUUUCGAUUUCAAUUUUUCCGGAUAGCAUUUGACCACCUUCUAAGUGUAACGGACCUAUUCAAGCAACAUCCAAGCCAUAGGAUGCCCCAAAAAAUUUUAAAAAGUCCAAACAAGUGGAGAUUUGGGAAGGUACGAAGAAUAUGAGGAUUCCUCACAUUCCUCGUACACUUGGGAAUUUUUUAGUAUUUUUGGAUUCCGAUUUUUCCGGAUGUCAUUUGACCACCUUGUAAGUGUAACGAACUUACUUAAACAACAUCCAAGCCAUAUGAUGCCCCACAAAUUUUGAAAAAGUUCAAACAAGUGGAGAAUUGGGAGGGUACGAAGAAUGUGAGGAUUCCUCACAUUCUUCGUACCCUUGUGAAUUUUUUAGUAUUUUUCGAUUUCGAUUUUUCCGGAUAGCAUUUGACCACCUUCUAAGUGUAACGGACCUAUUCAAGCAACAUCCAAGCCAUAUGAUGCCCCAAAAAAUUUUAAAAAGUCCAAACAAGUGGAGAUUUUGGAGGGUACGAAGAAUGUGAGGAUUCCUCACAUUCUUCGUACCCUUGCGAAUUUUUUAGUAUUUUUGGAUUUCGAUUUUUCCGGAUAUCAUUUGACCACCUUCUAAGUGUAACGAACCUAUUUAAGCAACAUCCAAGCCAUAUGAUGCCCCAAAAAAUUUUAAAAAGUCCAAAGAAGUGCAAAAUUGGGAGGGUACGAAGAAUGUGAGGAUUCCUCACNNNNNNNNNNNNNNNNNNNNNNNNNNNNNNNNNNNNNNNNNNNNNNNNNNNNNNNNNNNNNNNNNNNNNNNNNNNNNNNNNNNNNNNNNNNNNNNNNNNNNNNNNNNNNNNAAUGAUACUAACCGGUCGACCGGUUAUCUUCUACCGAUUGCGUACUUUUCUCAACCGGUAGCCACUGGCCCUUUUGGUUGCUUGAUUCUCAAAUGGGCAGUGGCUACCGGUUGAGAUAAGUAGGAAACCGGUAGAAGAUAACCGGUCGACCGGUUAACAUUGCUUGAUUCCUCACAUUCUUCGUUCCCUUGUUAAUUUUUUAGUAUUUUUGGAUUUGGAUUUUUCCGGAAAUCAUUUCACCACCCCCUAAGUGUAAUGAACUUAUUUAAAUAAUAUCCAAGUGAUAUGAAGUCCCAAAAAUUUUUAAAAACUUCAAACAAGUGGAGAAUUGGGAGAGUACGAAGAAUGUAAGGAUUCCUCACAUUCUUCGUUCCCUUGUUAAUUUUUAGUAUUUUUGGAUUUGGAUUUUUUCGGAAAUCAUUUCACCACCUUCUAAGUGUAAUGAACCUAUAAAAACAAUAUCCAAGCCAUAUGAAGUCCUAGAAAAUUUUAAAAACUUCAAACAAGUGGAGAAUUGGGAGGGUGCAAAGAAUGUGAGGAUUCUUCAUAUUCUUCGUACCCUUCCUAAAUUUUUAGUAUUUUUGAAGUAUGAUUUUUUCAGGCAUCAUUUGAACACCCCUUUAGUGUAAUGAACCUAUUUAAACAAUAUUCAAGUCAUAUAAAGUCCCAAAAAAUUUUAAAAGUAUCAAAGAAGUGGAGAAAUGAGAGGGUACGAAGAAUGUGAGGAUUCCUCACAUUCUUCGUACCCUUCCUAAUUUUUUAGUAUUUUCGGAUUUUGAUUUUUUCCGGCAUCAUUUGAACAUCUCCUAAGUGUAAUGAACCUAUUUAAACAAUACCCAAGUCAUAUGAGGUCCCAAAAAAUUUUAAAAGUAUCAAAGAAGUGGAGAAAUGAGAGGGUAUGAAGAAUGUGNNNNNNNNNNNNNNNNNNNNNNNNNNNNNNNNNNNNNNNNNNNNNNNNNNNNNNNNNNNNNNNNNNNNNNNNNNNNNNNNNNNNNNNNNNNNNNNNNNNNGGUCCCAAAAAAUUUUAAAAGUAUCAAAGAAGUGGAGAAAUGAGAAGGUAGGGAGAAUGUGAGGAUUCCUCACAUUCUUCGUACCCUUCCUAAUUUUUUAGUAUUUUCCGAUUUUGAUUUUUUUCGGGCAUCAUUUGAACACCUCCUAAGUGUAAUGAACCUAUUUAAACAAUAUCCAAGUCAUAUGAGGUCCCAAAAAAUUUUAAAAGUAUCAAAGAAGUGGAGAAAUGAGAGGGUACGAAGAAUGUGAGGAUUCCUCACAUUCUUCGUACCCUUCCUAAUUUUUUAGUAUUUUCGGAUUUUGAUUUUUUCCGGCAUCAUUUGAACACCUCCUAAGUGUAAUGAACCUAGUUAAACAAUAUUCAAGUCAUAUGAGGUCCUAAAAAUUUUUAAAAGUAUCAAAGAAGUGGAGAAAUUAGAGGGUACGAAGAAUGUGAGGAUUCCUCACAUUCUUCGUACCCUUCCUAAUUUUUUAGCAUUUUCGGAUUUUGAUUUUUUCCGGCAUCAUUUGAACACCUCCUAAGUGUAAUGAACCUAUUUAAACAAUAUCCAAGUCAUAUGAGGUCCCAAAAAAUUUUAAAAGUAUCAAAGAAGUGGAGAAAUGAGAAGGUACGAAGAAUAUGAGGAUUCCUCACAUUCUUCGUACCCUUCCUAAUUUUUUAGUAUUUUCGGAUUUUGAUUUUNNNNNNNNNNNNNNNNNNNNNNNNNNNNNNNNNNNNNNNNNNNNNNNNNNNNNNNNNNNNNNNNNNNNNNNNNNNNNNNNNNNNNNNNNNNNNNNNNNNNNNNNNNNNNNNNNNNNNNNNNNNNNNNNNNNNNNNNNNNNNNNNNNNNNNNNNNNNNNNNNNNNNNNNNNNNNNNNNNNNNNNNNNNNNNNNNNNNNNNNNNNNNNNNNNNNNNNNNNNNNNNNGAUUUUGAUUUUUUCGGGCAUCAUUUGAACCCCUCCUAAGUGUAAUGAACCUAUUUAAACAAUAUCCAAGUCAUAUGAGGUCCCAAAAAAUUUUAAAAGUAUCAAAGAAGUGGAGAAAUGAGAGGGUACGAAGAAUGUGAGGAUUCCUCACAUUCUUCGUACCCUUCCUAAUUUUUUAGUAUUUUCGGAUUUUGAUUUUUUUCGGCAUCAUUUGAACGCCUCCUAAGUGUAAUGAACCUAGUUAAACAAUAUCCAAGUCAUAUGAGGUCCCAAAAAAUUUUAAAAGUAUCAAAGAAGUGGGGAAAUGAGAUGGUACGAAGAAUGUGAGGAUUCCUCACAUUCUUCGUACCUUCCUAAUUUUUUAGUAUUUUUGAAGUAUGAUUUUUCCGGGCAUCAUUUGAACACCCUUGAGUGUAAUGAAUGUAUUUAAACAAUAUCAUUGUCAUAUGAAGUCCCAAAAAAUUUUAAAAGUAUCAAAGAAGUUAAAAAAUGAGAGGGUACGAAGAAUGUGAGUACCCUUCCUAAUUUUUUAGUAUUUUCGGAUUUUUAUUUUUUUCGGGCAUCAUUUGAACGCCUCCUAAGUGUAAUAAACCUAUUUAAACAACAUCCAAGCCAUAUGAUGCCCCAAAAAAUUUUAAAAAAGCCAAAGAAGUGAAUGAUACUAACCGGUCGACCGGUUAUCUUCUACCGGUUGCGUACUUUUCUCAAUCGGUAGCCACUGGCCCUUUUGGUUGCUUGAUUCUCAAAUGGGCAGUGGCUACCGGUUGAGAUAAGUAGGAAACCGGUAGAAGAUAACCGGUCGACCGGUUAACAUUGCUUGAUUCCUCACAUUCUUCGUUCCCUUGUUAAUUUUUUAGUAUUUUUGGAUUUGGAUUUUUUCGGAAAUCAUUUCACCACCUCCUAAGUGUAAUGAACUUAUUUAAAUAAUAUCCAAGUGAUAUGAAGUCCCAAAAAUUUUUAAAAACUUCAAACAAGUGGAGAAUUGGGAGAGUACGAAGAAUGUAAGGAUUCCUCACAUUCUUCGUUCCCUUGUUAAUUUUUUAGUAUUUUUGGAUUUGGAUAUUUCCGGAAAUCAUUUCACCACCUUCUAAGUGUAAUGAACCUAUAAAAACAAUAUCCAAGCCAUAUGAAGUCCUAGAAAAUUUUAAAAACUUCAAACAAGUGGAGAAUUGGGAGGGUGCAAAGAAUGUGAGGAUUCCUCAUAUUCUUCGUACCCUUCCUAAUUUUUUAGUAUUUUUGAAUUAUGAUUUUUUCGGGCAUCAUUUGAACACCCCUUUAGUGUAAUGAACCUAUUUAAACAAUAUUCAAGUCAUAUAAAGUCCCAAAAAAUUUUAAAAGUAUCAAAGAAGUGGAGAAAUGAGAAGGUACGAAGACUGUGAGGAUUCCUCACAUUCUUCGUACCCUUCCUAAUUUUUUAGUAUUUUUGGAUUUUGAUUUUUUUCCGGCAUCAUUUGAACACCUCCUAAGUGUAAUGGGCCUAUUUAAACAAUAUCCAAGUCAUAUGAGGUCCCAAAAAAUUUUAAAAGUAUCAAAGAAGUGGAGAAAUUAUAGGGUACGAAGAAUGUGAGGAUUCCUCACAUUCUUCGUACCCUUCCAAAUUUUUUAGUAUUCUAGGAUUUUGAUUUUUUCCGGCAUCUUUUGAACACCUCCUAAGUGUAAUGAACCUAGUUAAACAAUAUCCAAGUCAUAUGAGGUCCCAAAAAAUUUUAAAAAUAUCAAAGAAGUGGGAAAAUGAGAGGGUANNNNNNNNNNNNNNNNNNNNNNNNNNNNNNNNNNNNNNNNNNNNNNNNNNNNNNNNNNNNNNNNNNNNNNNNNNNNNNNNNNNNNNNNNNNNNNNNNNNNUUUUUGGUAUUUUGGGAUUUGGAUUUUUUUCCGGCACCAUUUGACCCCCUCCUAAGUGUAAGGAACCUAUUUAAACAAUUUCCAAGUCAUAUGAGGUCCCAAAAAAUUUUAAAAGUAUCAAAGAAGUGGAGAAAUUAUAGGGUACGAAGAAUGUGAGGAUUCCUCACAUUCUUCGUACCCUUCCUAAUUUUUUAGUAUUCUCGGAUUUUGAUUUUUUCCGGCAUCAUUUGAACACCUCCUAAGUGUAAUGAACCUAGUUAAACAAUAUCCAAGUCAUAUGAGGUCCCAAAAAAUUUUAAAAGUAUCAAAGAAGUGGGGAAAUGAGAUGGUACGAAGAAUGUGAGGAUUCCUCACAUUCUUCGUACCUUCCUAAUUUUUUAGUAUUUUUGAAGUUUGAUUUUUCCGGGCAUCAUUUGAUCACCCCUUGAGUGUAAUGAAUGUAUUUAAACAAUAUCAAAGUCAUAUGAAGUCCCAAAAAAUUUUAAAAGUAUCAAAGAAGUGAAAAAAUGAGAGGGUACGAAGAAUGUGAGUACCCUUCCUAAUUUUUUAGUAUUUUCAGAUUUUUAUUUUUUUCGGGCAUCAUUUGAACGCCUCCUAAGUGUAAUAAACCUAUUUAAACAACAUCCAAGUUAUAUGAAGUCUCAAAGUUUUUUAAAAGUAUCAAAGAAGUGGGGAAAUGAAAGGGUACGAAGAAUGUGAGGAUUCCUCACAUUCUUCGUACCCUUACUAAUUUUUAAGUAUUUUUGAAGUAUGAUUUUUCCGGGCAUCUUUUGAAGACCCCUUGAGUGUAAUGGACUCAUUGAAACAAUAUCCAAGCCAAAAGAGGUGUUACCUAAUCACAUGCCCAAAAAAACUACAGAGAACAAUCUAUGCAUGAAUCCAACACUUUAACAUCUUAUUUCAUUAUCUAUGAAGUGGUCGACCGGUUAAAUGCUACCGGUUGACCUAUUUUCUCAACCGGUAGACACUACUAUUUCUUAUGAUGAUGCACCAAAAUGGCCAGUGUCUACCGGUUCCAAAAAAAUUGCAACCACUUCGUAUGGUGGUCGACCGGUACACGAAUAUCCUUUAGAUGUCAUUUAGGUUUUUGAUCCGGUGAUUCGUACACUCAAAUGGUAUUACCCAGUUAUGACAUAGAUUGCAUAAUUAAUGGUAGAAAUCCAAACCCCUAGUUUUUUGUAAAGGAGCAAAAAAAAUUAUAGAAAUACCUUUUUUUCUUGGGCCUCCUUAUAAAUAAUCACCAGUCCAACAAAAAUACCACCUCAAUUUGUGAAAAGUAAGCACUCUCAGAGAAACAACAAAGACGUAUUCAAUUGGCAUGCAAUGAUUAUCAAGAAGCUCAUUGAGCGACCAUUUGUAUUGUUUUGUUUUGAUAAAUUAGAAAAAAAGUUUAAUUUAACAAAAUUGCAUGUCUGUUCCCAUUUGAAGGCCAGUGAGUUACUUAGUGCAGCAACAACCACUAAGUUCCAUUUGGUUCUUCAUCCUGAACCGCUUCUCAUAAGACUGAUCCCACACUUUUGCACCACAUGGGAUGCCCCAACUAGACUAAAACAAGCCUUAAUAUCCCUUAAUGGAUUAAAAGUGGUGAAUUAAUUAGUUGGUAUGAAUUCAGAACCAUAGUAACACAUUUGAAUAUAAUUAAAAAUCUAUAGGUGGUAAAUGGGAAAUUCAAAUGUAAUUCAACAUCCUUUAGUUAGAUUUAAUGGAUUAAAAGUGGCAAAUUGAUUGAUUAGUAUGAAUUUGGAACCAUAGUAACACAUUUGAAUAUAAUUAAAAAUCUAUAGGUGGUAAAUGGGAAAUUCAAAUGUAAUUCAACAUCCUUUAGUUAGAUUUAAUGGAUUAAAAGUGGUAAAUUGAUUGAUUUAUAUGAAUUUCAAACUAUAGUCUCAUAUUUGAAUAUAAAUAAUUAGUUAUAACUAUUUAAUGGGGAAUCUAAAUGUUAUUCAAGAUCCCCUAUUUUCUAUUUAAUUAAUAUAAAAUGAUUAAUUGAUUUAUUUAUAUUAAUUUCAAACUAUAGUUGCACAUGGGGAUAUAAUUCAUGGAAGAUGCCAUAAAAUUUAUUCAUUUAUGUGAAUUUUGAACUAUAGUUCUUAAUAGGAAAAUUUUAAUUUGGACUCAUGCUUUCUCUUCAUUCCCUUAAUUUCCUAUCUAUGUAAGUGUAGAACCACCAGUGUUUGCCGGUAGAGGAAUUUCCUCAACUGGUAGACAAAAUUUCUCAACCGCUACCGGUCGACCGGUUUAAUGCUACCGGUUGGCCAUAUUCUCAACCGGUAGCCACUGUCGUUUUUUUCCCUAAAGCACAAAAUAUGGGCAGUAGCUACCGGUAGCAAAAAAAAAUGCAUCCGGUUCCUUUGUUGGUCGACUGGAAUAGGAUUUUCCUUUUGUUGUCAUUUAGCUUUGUGAUCCGGUCAUGAUGUAAUUAGAUGAUACAAUUGUGAUUCUCCAUAUUACAAUGGAACUGGUUCAUUUGAUGGUCGGCCGGAAUGAGACUUUUCUUUUGUUUUCAUUUAGCUAUGUCAUAUGGUGAUGAUGCAUUUAUGCAUAAAUACUAAUAAGCAAGAUUGAGUCAUACUCAUAAUUCAUUCUUGUUUACUAGGAAUUUUCUAUUUCUAAUUGGUUUCUAUUUCAUUCAAAUUUCCAAUACUUUAAAAGUUCCUACAGAUAUAUAGUUUAUACUUUUACAAACAUUAUUUUGUAUUUACUAUUCCUUUUUUAUAGUAAAUAUUUUUUUAAUUAUUUUAUGAAUUGACAAUACUUUUAAUAAGGAUAAUUAAGAAAUAUUUUUUGAAGGUAAAUAUUAACAAUUUGAUAAUUUAGAAAAUAAAAAUGGAAUUAAUUUGAUCAAAUUACCAAAAUAUUUAAAGUAAAAAUAAAGUAAUAAAUUUUAAGUUAAUAAUUUAAAAAUGAUGGAACUAAAAGUUAAUUUAAACCAUUAAAUAAUAAGUAUUAAAUUUUAUAAAAUAUCAUCUUAAUAAACUCACUUAAUAGCUUGAUGACUUAAUUUAAGUGUUUAACCACACUAAAUAUUUUGGGUAAAAUAAUUUAAUGUUAAAAUUUAAGGUAAAUAAGCUAAAAUAAAUAAUCUUUUCUAGAUGGUGUAAGGGGAAAAGAGAUUUGUUUCUACUCCUGCAUUAGACAUACACGUUUGAUAAGAUCACUUCCAUCUUGUAUACAUCCAAUUAAUUUAGGGUAUGUGGGAAUGAGAAUGAUAAAUCAAUUUCAUUUCUUAUUUAUUAUUAAAUUUGGAUUAUAAUUAAAAAUGAAAAAUUCAUUCUUAUAGAAAUCAAGAGUCUAUUUGAUUGUGUGAUAUAAAAUUGUUCCUAUAAAAAUUGUUUCCCAAAAUUUAUAAUACUAAUUUGAGAUUAAUUUUUUAGAAACGGUUUUAAAAAACAAAGUGAAUAGAGAGUGAUUUUUAUAAAAUUAAUUUAAAAUAAUAUAUAGAAAUAAUUUAUUGAUUUUAAAUUAUUUUUGUUGUCCUACUUCGCUUUCCUUUGACUUUUCUUUUUUACUUUCUUUUUCUCACAUUUUUCUCAAAUUUUUCAAAAACCAAACACAAUCUUAAAGGCUAUCUUUGAUUCUCAAAAAAUACUAGGAAAUAAAAAAAUACUUUCCUCAUAUUUGAUUUCACUAUAAAAAAUUAUAAAAGAAAAUCAAAUAUAAUUAAAAUUAAUUAAAUUUUUAUAUAUUUUUAAAUUAUUUAAUCUUACUAUAAUAAAAAAAAAUAAGUACAAUGAGCUUAAAUAUAUAAAAAUAAUUUAUUAAAUUUAAAUUUAUUUUUUAUUUUCCUUUAUUUUUUCUUUCCAUUCUACUUUUCCUUUCUAUUUUCUUUCAUUCCCAUUUUCCCUCGAAUUUUCCGAAACCAAACAUAACCAAAAGUUCAAAUAUAUAUAUAUAUAUAUAUAUAUAUAUAUAUAUAUCAUAAAAGCCUUUCUUAUCAUUUGGCAUUCUACUCUGCUUCUACAAACCAUACAAUCAAAAACUGUUUUUUCUCAUACCUUACUUCCACUUGGAAGAUUAUUGAAAGGCUGACAAAUUUUAUCUUGAAAGAUACUGUCAAUUGAUUGAUCCUUGUGUCCAAAGUUUUCUAGUCAUCCAUUUUUCUUUCUUCCAUCCAACAUAAUUUUCCAUUUUUUCUGUUCUUUGAGAUUCUUCCCAGUAGUUAUUACACUGCUGAUCCAUAUUUGCCACCAAGCUAGUAGCACAGAUCUUAAGUUCCUAGAAGUCGACACAUUUAAUAGAAUUGUUCCCUCAACUUUUGAGGAUACAAUAACAGACAGCUUAAUGUUUAUUGGCACCUUACAGAUCAUGAGAUUCAACAAGCAUUGAAUUGAUCUGAGAUGAAGUCUUUAUUCCUUCUUAGCAUAUGCCUCUGGUAGAAGGCUUUGAUCCUUCCAAGUCCAUCUUCGAGAGAAGGUGGAUCAAUGGCAAAAGUUACUCGAGGCCAGUUCUUCAUUCCCACAGCUACACCUGCAACAAAUACCCCAAAAUGAUUAGACCCAAUUCGUUUUUGUAAUCCACUAUACAAGCAACUAAAACUAAAGUAGGGUUGCAACUCCGAUGGGUUCAGUCCGGUUGAUAGCUAACGCAAACCUAACCUGAAUUAAAAAACAAUUAAUCUAAGUCCAACCCAACUCGCCCUUUAAUAUAAGGUUCUCAACCUUAUUUUUCUAAGCUCAAAAUGAGUUUUGAGUUAUAUAGAAUAACAUGCAUUAUAAUAUUAUAAAAAUAUCAAAUCGGUCUAGAGUUAGGCUUUGGUUAUUGGAUCAUUAACCCAUGUCUAACCCAAAAUGAGUUAGGUUGAAAAAAUUUGACUCAAGUCUGUCCAAACAUCGAGUUGGGUCGGAGCAUCCUAAGCUAACCAAGGUUGCUUGCUUCUUACCUGUAAGGACAAUCACUGAUUCCUCUUUAGACAGCUUCAUAGAGAACUCUACAUCAUCAUCAAUGUCUUCCAAUAGAGACAGGUUCAGCUUGACCUGCAAAGAAACCAUAAUUGACAAUAAUCAUCUCAAUAUUCUGAAGUGCAAAAUAUAUCAUGUUUUCUUUCUCCCUUUACCAUUACAAACAUGGAUCCUUCCGGCUUUUGCGGGCAAGUAAUGCAGGGGAUAUCCUUGAUUCUCUCAUGAAUUAUGUCUGCACAUUCUCCAAGUAUGAUGAUAGUGUUUGAGAAGAAAUCCUCUUUUGUUUUCUCCAGGAUCUCUGGAAAUGCACCCUGAUAAAUGAACCAAAUCAUUUAUCAGAGUGUUCGAUCUCUUUAAGAAAUGAAGAACGGAAAAAAAAAAAUGGCAUGCUCCCUUACAAACCUGAAUAAAAGUUGCGGGAUCAGAAGAAAUAUUGAGACAAUUUAUAAUGCUCUCAACAACCUGAAAUGAAAAGCAACAAAGAUAUAAGUUGAGUGUUUUAUUACCAGGAAGUUUCCUACCUAGUCAAUGUUUCCAAUUCUACUACACAUGGGAUCAUAUACUGAAAUUAAGUUCAAAUUCAUGCUUUAUUACUAUAUUUUUCUUGGGAUAGUGUCAGAUUUUUCAUUAAAAAUUAGUAGGUUUAUGUAAAGACCCACUCACUCCCAUAUAGAUAUUGUUUGCCGUAAGGGUAAUGGGUCAUCAUUGUUUUAAAACUUGUCCACAUGGUUAAGAGGAGUUCAUUCAUAUAUGGUGUCAAGAACUUCUUCCCCCAUCCAAUAUGUGACCCCACAGUCACAAUGUUCUUAUUGUGUCCCAUGAGAUUGAAAGAUCAGAUAGGCAAACAUCUCUUAUAUGGACAGAUAGACAUAGUCCCACACUGAGGUCAUGGAUUAAUUCUGAUACUAUUUGUAAUAGCUCACUCUCUCCCAUAUAGAUAUUAAGGGCUUUGAGCCCAAUAAACCAUCACGAUUUUAAAAUGCAUCUAUAUGGUUAUGGGGAUAAAUAUAAUCAGGUUUCGAAACAUGCUUAGAAAGUUUCUAAAAGCCUAGAAAGAUAUGACUUUGUCUCUUCCCCCCUCAACCCCAUAAAAAAUUGUUUUCACUGAUUUUUUUUUCAACCUUUUUAAGAUAAAUAAAACAUUAAUUUUCAUAAAAUUAAAUUGUAAAUAUUUAUAUUAAUUUUUAUUUUAAAAUAAUAUUUAUUUUUACUAAAGUAUAAAUUUCUAAAAAUAAAAAAUUGAUAAAAUAAAAAAGAAUAGGACAAGAAAAAUUCCCCGUAUCCACUCCACCCCAUUUAUAUUUUUUAGAUGGGAUAGGAAUAGAUAGAAACAAAAGAAAUAAAUGGAAAGAAGUUGGGAUUAGGGUGAUCCAUCCUAAACCCACUCUACUGUCCUCCCUAAAUGCAAGCCAUGAUUAACAAAAAUAAAAGCAAAAGAAAACUGAAAAGACAUCUUGCCAAUAUAUUAUCUAUUUACUGUGCAGGGUUCUGCCAUAUAAGAACAUAAAGCACAACAAUAAUCGACCUUUCCAAGUAGCUAAAAGCUGAAACGGUUCACUGCUUCAAAACCGAAAACAUAUUUGGCAAGACUUGUGUAGCAAACGUAAAAAUUGCAUCUGAUUAAGGACCACCCAACAAUAAUCAAACCUUUUGUAACCUCAUAAUAUAUUCACUUCUUAAGGUAAUAUAUUUACCUAUCACUCUUCCAACACAUUAACCAAUUCGUACUCAACUAGCGAAAGAUUGUUCUGCUCUUUAACUACAAAGUUAGCAUCCUUGGUCACUUCAACACGUCCCCAUUUGUCAACUGCUAGCCUCAUUGAUCCCUUAAACAUGUCAAUCUUUGCUUUGUACAGAAUCACAGUGGCGCCCGACUUUAUCAUAUCAACUGCAUGGUGACAAAGGUACCUCAUUACUAUUAAUAUAAAACAGCAAUGCUUUGACAUCUUUCAUACACACAAACUCACCUAAGUGCUACUGGGAUAAGGAAGCUGGGACCAAACUACAUUUUUGUGAAGCCCAAGCAAUGUGAGAUCGAGCAGAUGAAAUAAAUUUUUAAUAGUGAAUCAAUAGAUCACUGACUUUAAGGUACCAGUUUAAAAAUGUAUCAUUCUCAGUUUCGCCACAAGCAUUAUUUACAAUAAAGUUAAACAGAAAGAAGGAUUCCAUACUUCUAAAUGUAUGAUUAAUGAUAGGUAGAAUAUUCACAGUUUCAAGUCCAGAAAAAUGUUUCCAUCUCAAUUAGGUAGUAGUAAGCACAGUCAAGUAUCUAUAGGUCAAUGAUGAGGGAACAAUGGAAGGGAAAAAAGCUUGCAGGGGCAACAGAAUGAAAAUGUAAUGACCAACUGAAUUCAUUUAGGCUUCUGCAGGCAUCUAUGUUAUGGUUGUUACUUAGCCUGGGGAGGAAUGUACCUAAAGGAAGGCUCAAUGCCUUCGUUUGAGUAUAUUGAUUGAUUAGGAUCUUAAUGAGACAGAGAGAGUUGCUUUUUGUGUUCUCUCUUGAUUGUCUUUGCCUUUUUGUGCCCAUUGUGUUCGUCCUGUGUCCUCUAAUAUAUUUUUUUGUUGCUAUAUACAUACGUCUUGUAUUGCCUAUCAAAAGAAUAUAAAUACAAUCCACCCCACAUACAAAUGUCUUCUAUGGCAAUUGUUCAAAAUUGGGCAUAAUGCAUCUAUUGUGUGAGAGAGAGAGAGAGAGAGUUGAAUAAAUUUCCAAAAGCAACAUGGUUAAUUUAUCCAAACAAGAACGUAAUAUAGAAUCCUCAACUGUACAAGUGGAUGCCAGGUUGAGCUCAUCUCAAAUUCAAAAUUCCUAUCUUAUCCUACUGCAGUUUUUAAGAGCAUCACGCUUCAAUAUUUAAUAAGCUAGAUUACAGUAAAGCCAUGUCAGGAACUUAUUUUAAUUGUUGAAGUAACUCAAAAAAAUAAAAAGUUUUUAGAAAAUAUGUCUUUGAAGAUCUAGGUCCAACACUAAAAAAUUGGAAGAAAAAAGGAGUACCAAAAUUUAGGUUCAGCCUUGCUUUGUUAGGGAAAACAAAAAAAAUGCCCAUAGUGUUUGCUUUUGUCAAAACCUUUUCUUUUGGUUUGGCAAGCUUGCAACAAUGACCUGGAUUUUUACGUCCAAUGUUGAUGGCUUAACUGGUAAGCAAAGGUGGCAGGUCAAUGAAGAAAGGGAAUAUGGAAUGGGCCCGAGGUGGAAAACUUUUGGUCUUUGUCAUAGACUGAUUGAUGGUAAUAACAUUGUUUUUUUUUUUUUCAUAUAUAUUUAUUUUAUGACAAGGAAUUGAACCCAAGACCUCCACAGUCCCCAAUCCAAACUCUUGCCACUUGAGCCAAGCCUCAAAGGUAGUAAACAUCAUUGAUGUUAACUUCUUCAUUCACAAAAAUAAGUGGUUGAAAUGGCUUCUAGCAGAUGUUAAAUUACUGAACAUUGAGUUGUUGCUUGCUUGAAAAUUAUGAAGGAGUUGGAUUUUAAGGUGCAAUUAAUCAACAAAGAGCCAACAAAAAAAUUUCCAAACUUAAAUCUUAGAAAUUGACAUAGAAGCACAACAUCAUAUAUUUCAAAUUUAAGUAAUCUAAUGCAACUGAUCCUUCUCAGGCACUAAACCAUGACAAAGAAAGUUCAUCUUCAGUAGAUGCUGAGAAAAAUGAAACAGAAAAUAUAAUACAUUUUUUAACUUUCAUGCUAUUUUCAAUUUCCUUGUAUUACCAACAAUGAAAAUUUUGCAGCUCAAAAAUUCAAAUUUUAUUUUAUGUUUACGGCGGCCUAAGCAUACCUAAAGAUAAAAUAUUUCACUUCGUUUAUCUCACUUUUUCUCAUGAGCCAACAUUAAGAAAAAAAAAAUUGAAAGCUAACACCCCUUUUUAACACUCAUUUAACACAAUUCCAAGAACAUUACAACGUAAGAUGCACAAUUCUCUUUGUUUCCCACAUUUCCUCAGCAACCAAACAAACCACAAACACACCCUAAACGAGAAACUCACAAAAAUAAAAGGGACACAUACUCAAGAUAUAAACAAAUACCUUGAUCGUUACGAGCAGUGAAGAUGAUCGCCCUAGUCUCAUCCCCAACAAGACACUCAGCAAUACGAGUGUGGCGAAGAUGCUGCGACACCAAUUGACCAUUUUGCAACACGGUCUUAGAGCUCACCACCUUCACCGUCAGAGUGUGGCCACCGGUCCCCGGCUUUAACUGGUCCACCUUCGUGAACACCGACUUCGUCUUCUUCGUCACAGCUGCCUUCGUCGUCUACAUAGUCGCCGUUGUUAUCGCCGUCUCCGUAGUCGCCGUUGCCAUCGCCGUCUCCGUAGUCGCCGUUGCCAUCGCUCAAAAACCCUAGCUCCAGGAUCCAAAUCGGUUGGGGACGUGAAGAAGCCUUAGAAUGAAAACAAACGUGCUAGGGUUUUGCUUUUAGGGUAUUGUUGGACUUGGACUUGGACCCUUUUAGAGCUACUUUUGUGUAUAUGGAAAUUGAAAAGGCUUGAAUAGGGUCUUGAACAGCUACACGGCCGGCUAUGGAGGAUGAGUGAAGAUGAGAGCACGGGAUAAGGGUGAGAGAAUAGGAGGGGAAGAGCUACACAGCCAGCUAUGGAGGGGAAGAGAGCAAAUUAGGAGGGGAAAAUGGGAAAAAGGGGAGAGAGGGGGGAGAGAAUGGGAGGGGAAGGUACCCGGUUUCAAUUUUUUUUUUUUCUUUUUCAUUUGGAUGGCUGAGAUUUAAUCAGAUUCAUCUAAUGGCUGAAAAAAAAUGGAGGUAUGGUUCCGAAUGAGGUAUUGUAGAAUUUUCCUUCUUCUAAUAGUAAGUGAUUCGUUUUGGGAUAUUUCUCCUAAACACCCAGAUGAAAAUGUAUGGAAAGAUCCCUUGAACCUUCAUCUGAAUCUGGGUGUUCAGGAGAAAUAUCCCAAAACAAAUCACUCACUGUUGUAUCAGUAUCUAAAUUUGAAUCUUGUGCCAGAGUUAAAUGGGUUGGAGUGAGUUCAAGAGAGUGGAAGAAAGACUACUAGAAGGUAGGUUAGAGUGUUGAAUUGUAGUGUGCAAUGUGGUGGUGUUAUGUGUAGAGUAAUAUAAUUUAGAAAAUGCUUUUAAAAUCUUGAAAAAUCACUUGUAAUAUUUUUUGCUAAAACACUAGAAAUAUAAUUCUCUUAAAAAUAUUUUCCACUAAAAACGCUUCAUUGUGAAAUAUACCCUAACUUUAUCUUUUUAAUUCUUUUAAAUGAAAACAUUAAUAUGAUAAGUAUAAAAAAUUAACAAUAAAAGGAUAAUUAUUUACUAGUUUUUUUUUUUAUAAAAAAAUCACUUAAAAAUUGAUUUUCUAAUAUGCAUUAACAUUGAUUUUUUUUUCCCAUGGUUUUACGUUGGCCUUAUAAUUUUCUCCCUAUUUUUGUCUCAAAGUCUUUGUGAAUAUCAUGAAUUUUUUUUUACUUUCUUUAGCAUUAAAUCCCUCUCACUUAUAAUUUUUUCAAUAAAAUGACAAAAACAUGAUUUUUUUUUUUUUUUGGUUAAAUACACUUUAGCCCUCAACUAUAAUUUUUUCAAUUAAAUGACAUAAGUAUGGAUUUUUUUGCUUAAAUAUACUUUACCCCUCAACCUUUAAAGCAGUUUACACUAUACCUCCUCCCAUUCAAAAUUCAAUGCUUUACUUUCCAAACUUGUUAAAAACGAUAUGUUGCCACCUAAAAUUGUUAAAAAGUUAAUGAGCAAUUUGUUAUGAAAAAAACAAACUGGAAUGUAAAGAAAAACACAUAUUGUUCAAAUUCAAAAUUGUUACAUUUUGCAGUUGUAUACGAAAAUCACCGAUAGUUAUACAAACAUCUCUAAUAUAAAAAAACAAAACUAAUAGUUGUCAUAUUUUGAAAUCAUUUAGAAAAUUCUCUUUCAAAGUUAUCGAUUCAAAGUUGGUUAUAAGACAAGUUAGAAAAUUUAUCUUCAUUGUUGUAGCCAAGCUCGCUAUUCAAUCAUUAGAGGUGUAGAAAGGUAUGAACCUUUCACUUAUAGAUUCUAGUCUCAUUUUCCAAUGAGAAAUUUGAAAAUUGAAAAAUUUUCACUUAAUUUGAUAAUGUACAUGGAAGUAAGGUUGAACAAACCUCUAUAUUAGUAGUAGUAUGUUAAAAUUGCAUAUUGUCUAAAUCUUCAUCUUGGAAGAUAAUGCUUAGAAGAGAUUAAAUUGUCAUUAAUAGUUCAUUUGCUUAGACAACAUGUAACUGGAGUACUGUCAUACCCUAGUUUUUAGGAAUUGCUAAAUGAGUCAAAGUUUGUUUUAGUCUUCAAUUUAUUUAGGAGUUAGUUACUUGAAUAUUUAUGGUCUUUGUUUGUUAAGUAAGUUUAGGAGCACAUUGGUGUUCCUAGUUGAGAUUUUAAGGGAUCUUUUUAGUAGAAUUUAUUGUAAUGCUAAUAGAACAAUUAGCCAAGUCUUCAUUGAAGUUUGUCUCUAUUCUUCUCCAAGUAAUAAAGUUUCUUUUGCUAAGUUGCUUCACUUGUUUAAUUUCUUACAUGGUAAUAGAGCAAGGUUGCUUACCAAGUGUAUGAUCUUAGUACUCGAUGAAUAGUGGAAAUGGUUCUUUUGUAGAAAAGCUUGUUGGUGAUAAUUAUGGUUGUUUAAAGCUAUUCAUGGAAGCUUAUCUAUAAGGCAGGAUUUGUGGGAGCUUAUCUUUAGUAUUGAAGUUGUAAUUCUAGAGGUUACACCAAAAAAUGUUGAGUUACGACGAAAAGGGAACAUCAAGUGCAACAAAGCUUUAUUUACUUCAUGAAUUUUGAUAAAGACUAUAUCAAGCAUGUUUGUGAUGUAGAGAAUCUCAUAUCUCUCUAUUCCUUAUCCUAAAAUCAAGUUAAGAGCAUGAAAAACUUUCUUAGGGCCUCUAUAUCUUAGCAAUAGAAGCAAAGUUACGAACUUUUUGACAAAAGAUCUAGAUUAAGUGCUAUAGAAAACAAUACAUCAGAUUUGGACAUUCCCAAAUCUAUUAUUCUCAAUGUAAAUUGAUUCUUAGUUGGUGGAAGUCUCAUAGAACCAUGAUCUUCCAUUGCGAUGACUUAAUCUUGAUCUCUUAGCACACAAUGUUGGGUGUUUGGGAGGAUGGAAGCUAAAAAUUUCUCUUUUCUCUUUGGAUGAUAAAAGUCGACUAACCUGAAACUCCAAUCCUUAAAGGAGUAUUUGUAGAGUUCCUUAAUUAGGCUUAAGUAAUUUGAGUCCAUUAAGGUUUGGAUCGCUUAAUCUAGCCCAUAAUGGGUCCUAAUUUAUUAAGUAACUCCGUAAGGCCUUCUAAUUAAUCAAUUAACCCACUUCAACAAAAAUGCUCACUAACCCCUAUGCAACCUCACAAAAUUAUCAAAAUACCCUUAUACACAUAAGUAAACCUAGAGAUAAUUCAAACCUCAUAAACUAUGUGAUCAAGGUAUAUGAGCUCGAGUGGGGACCAUCAGGAUCCAUAUGACAAUACUAGUUCUCUUAAAACACAAUUAUAAAGUUGAUUUAAUAUCUUAUUAUAGAGAAUCAACUACGCUCCAGUACUCCAUGUAAAUGAUAACAAGACACUAAAUGUUCGGGUUUGUGACCUACUAUCCAUUGUAUAUAGUUUCCCUAUGAACUGGUCAUUCGUAGUUUAAUAAGAUGAAAGUCAUCAACCUUUGAAGAUUACCUCUAUUAUUAUUGAAUUCCUGAUCCUCUUAUUGUGUGUUCAACUAACAUAUUUUAGUUUCUAUGGUGAAUGAGAAAAGUCUUGAGAAUUAAGUAAGAUCCAACAUGAAAAUAUAGAUAAAUAUGUCAUAAGUAAUAUGAUGUAUGAAGUGUAACCUUAAGGUGAGAUGCUAUAAAAUAAAAACAAGGUAAAGCUUCCAUGAGAAUGCAUGACAUUUUUGUAUAAGAAUUGUUUAUGCCUAUAAUUGUUAAGAAUCUUGAUUAUUUACUUCCAUAAUUAUUUUGAGAAGCAAGUGAGAUUGAGGGUUUGUUUUCUAUUUUUUGUUCUCAAUAAUAGAAAAUAAUGUGUUUUAUCGUUUAAUUAUUUUCUACUAUUUUUACUUGUUUUCUAAGGAUUAUUUAAAAAAAUAAUUAUAAAAACACAUAAAAUGAUUAAAAAUAAGAACACAAGACAAAAUUAUUUUUAAAGUACUAAAAAUAUUUUAAGUUUUCGAACAUAUUUUUGUUUUACAAAACACUAUAAAUUUAAAAACUAUUUUUCGGAAUUGCUUUCAAAAAUAGUUAUUAAACAAGCCCUUAAGUUUUCAAAUAUAUUUUUUUCAAAAUCAAACUCUUCUUAUUAGAUGAUGUAAUAUACCCUUAUAAUUUUUGUAAUAUCAACAUCAAACAUAAAAAUAUUUAGAGUUAAAUAUAUAAAAUGAUUUAUUUCAGAAAAAGAAUAAAUAAUGCUUGAAAAAAUAAUUUUAAUAUCACUUUUUGACAUUAAUAUUUAUUUAUUUUUACGAUUUAAAACACUGUGGGAUUAUUUUUAGGAAUUUAGUCGACCGUUGAACUUAAAACACAGUGGGAUUAUUUUUAGGAAUUUAGUCGACCGUUGGACUUGUGCAGUUGUCUUCAGUCUUCGCAGCUGUCACUCGACUUUUCUAUCUGUAUUUUCUUUGAUAUAAAACCCUAAGAACAAAUUCAAAUGAUCAAUCUCAAUUUCUCAUCCCCCUUCUUUACUGCCUCUCUGCCUCUAAUCCAAUCCCAAAUUCCAAACCCUAAAUUUCCUCAAUUCCAACGAUACUCUUUCAGAAAUCGAUAGGCUAAACGAUGCCGUUUCAUAGUACCACAUGCUAGCUCUUCCGAGCUUCCGCUCCUCCCCGUUGAUAUAAACCAGGUGAGUUUCAGAACCGAUUCUUCUUUCUCUUCCGUUCGCCUCUCUUUGUUUUUCUGGAAUUUCUCUUCUUUCUUUUUUCUUUUACGAAAUAAUUUUGCUAGGCGUGUUUGGAAAAUGUUGGUCUUGAUGAUUCUUUGUUGGUUUUUCCUGGAAAAUGUUGUCUGGGAUAAUAAAAUUAUUUAUUCUACUAUUAUGGGAGUUGGAGAAUUGCCUUUUUUUUUUUUAGGGAAAUAAUUUUUCUAGACGUGUUCGGAAAACAUUGAUCUUGAUGAUUCUUUGUUCGUUAUUUGUUUUUGUGGAAAGAUUUUUCUGGUAUAAAAAAAUAAUUGGUUUUAUUUUGGUGCUGGAUAAUUUUUUUUUUUUAAAUAAUUUUUCUAAAUGUGUUUGAAAAAUGUUAGUCUUGAUGAUUCUUUCUUUGUUGUUUGUUUUCGUGGAAAAUGUUUUCUGGGAUAAUAAUUAUUAUUUGUUUUGUUAUGGGGUUUGGAGAAUUUUUUUAUUUUUUUUUCACAAGGAAAUAAUUUUUCUAAAUGUGUUUGAAAAAUUAUGGUCCUGAUGAUUCUUUGUUAGUUGUUUGUUUCUGUGGAAAAACUUUUGGAAAAUGUUUUCUAGGAUAAUAAUUAUUAUUUGUUUUGUUAUUGGGUUUGGAGAAUUUCUUUCUUCUUUUUUCAUAAGGAAAUAAUUUUUCCAGACGGGUAUGGAAUAUGUUGGCCUUGAUGAUUCUUUGUUGGUUGUGAUGCUCCUACGAUCUAUCUCUUUGCCAUGUUUUACUAUCUGAAGUUGGAUUGCUGCAAGUUUUAUUUGUUUCAAUGACAAAUUUUCUGAGGGAAUUUUCCAAACCUUUUAAGGCAGAAUUUAUGGUGAUUACUCACUUAUGUUUGUAAAUCCGGGAGUAGGCUCUAGAUUAAGACCUAAAUGAGUUUGAUAUUUAGAUCUAUGUAGGAGAUCCAUGGAUCCCCCAAAAAAAAAAAUAGUAAAUGGUGAAGAAGUAAAUUAUCCUAAGAUUCAAAAUGGUUUAGAAAAUUGGAAAUGACCUAAGGUUUGCGGUUAAGAAAUUUAUAAGAAAGGUUCUUUUAAGUUUUUCUCAGACCAUAUAAUUUGGAUGGUUGAACAAGAUUAUUAGGUUAUAAGACUUCUAGAUGACAAAUCCAUAGAAAGACAUUAGAAAGAUUAUAGUUUCAUACACUUAGGAAUGGUGUAGUUGCUAAGCCAUUAGUCAAAAUAAGCUUAAAUACCUCAUUUGUUAUGUGUGUAAGAGACAAUAGACAUCUUGAUUUUAGAGAUUCUAUUAUCGGGGCAGUUCACUAGCAGGUUUAAAUGAUGGACUAGUUUAUUUCUAGAGUUUCUAUAAUUUCACAUUUUGCAAUUUCACAUCUUAGAUUUAGUUGCCCUCCAUAAUCACAAGAUUCACAUGUAAAAGCAUGAUCACUAGUGUGGGAUUGAGAGCUUUUAUGCGCUAGUCGUUAGAGAGAAAGUAUUCUUUUUUCAAUCAAAUUUUUAAUUGGUAAAUCUAACUUUAUCAUCCUUAGGAGAAUCACAUGGAAUGAAGUUGAUUUUUUAGAUUCAUGGCAUUUCUUUAAUGUUGUUCCACCCACAGAGCAAAGAAUACAAAAAAUUGAACAAAUAGUUCAAUACCCUUAUGGAGAAGGAGAUUUGAUCUUCUCUAAUUCUUCAACCAUCUAAUGCAUGAUGCUCAUCUAUUCCAACUAGAACCACUAAGAUGGAAGAAGGAUCCACAUCUUCAAAACCUAAGUAUAUUAAGUUAUCAAGAGGUAGAUCACACAAAUGUAUCACAACCUUACUGUUUUGAAGAGUCUACUGAGAAUUACUUGAUAUGUCACCCACAUAUUCCUAAGAGAUUAAUGUUAAAUUUUGGAAAUGGUUAAAGACCUUUAAGAAAAAUGAAUUUCCUAAUUAUACAUUUAAAGAUAUCAACAGUAAUUUAAGAAAUAUGCAACAAUAAUCAUUAUAGAAUCCAUUCAUCCUCUAAAAGUUUUAAGUCUAAGACUGAUGAUAAAAUAAUGAUACUAGUAUGUUUCUUAAGACUUUAGGAGAUCAACUUAAUAGAGUAGAAUUUCGCCUUUACUUGAGACAAUCUAUUGUGAAUCCCUAAGCUAACUACAAUACCAUGCAAAUUGAUAAUUUACUCUAUUAGUGUUGAAAACCACCAUCCCAUCCUUUUCACUUUCUAUUCCUUGGUCCAUUCCCUUCUUUCAAACUAAGCUAUUCAUUGAAUUUAAAUGAUUAGGAUUUGGAGCUUAUAGAAGACAAGGAAUCAAUUUCCAUUUUGGUGGUCAUAGUAGAAUUGAAGCUAAGGAAAGUUUGAAUAUAUUGCGUGACAGGAAGGGAUUGCCCUGGUAUGAAGGAAAAAAAUCCAACAUUAGUGUACGAACUAAUCUCUGACUUGAUGAGUCAAUCUAAUUAAGGAAGUAAAACACUGACGACUGACUUUCUGAUACUUUCACAUAAAAGUAGAGAUCGAAAACUCAAGGAUCAAGCAUCUUCACAUUUGUCUAGGUUGGACAACUUGUGGCUAAAGUCCAUUCUUGUAUGUGAGGAGAAACAUGCAAUUAGAGACUUUGUGAAAGACAACGUUUCACUUUUUUUUAUGAUCGAGUUCUUGUGUUUUUUUCUAUGUACACUAGUGAAACACACUCACAUAAAACAUAGGAAUUGAACUAGCAAGAUUUAGGAUUUGGUUUUUAAAUGGUGCAAACUUAAGGAUUAAUGAAGCUUCAAAGUUGGAAAUUCAUGUACUUAGAGAGACUUUCAUAAGACCUGAUUUUAACUUCUACAUAAAUUUUCAACACAUUUUUAUGAAAAAGUCUUUAAUAUUGUUAUAUUAUAUUAAAUUAACAUAGGUAUUGAAUACUUUAGACUAGGUUUUGACUCAUACAUGCAAACACAAAAAAGAAAACCAAAUAAAGAAACUUAGCAUAAGUGUCUAUCUCUAGUGAGCAUAGGAAUAGAUCAUUAUCAAAGAAAGAUAAAAGAAAGAGUCGACGAGUCACUUUUUUAAAUCUUCUAAAAAGACUUGACAAACUCUUUUAGUCUCCUCGGGUGAAACUUGUACAAUGAGGUCUUGUUGUUCUUCGAGUAGCGCCCUCUUUGUAGACCCUCAAUUUUUUCCCUUUAGCACACGCCCAAUUAGGUGUUCUUUCAGCACUUCAUAGCAAUUCUCUUUAGCACACACCCUCUUUGUACAAUGAGCGCUUGCUAUUUUCAACUAAUUUUCAUGGUUUUCUUGAUUUUUUAACAAGCAUGAAUAAACUUCAUAGUUCCAAACACUGGAACUCAUGGCAUUAAUACAUGCAAAAGUAAAAUGGUCUUUGAUGAGGGCUCGACAUCCAUGUUAUCUCUUUCAAUAUUGAUUCAAGAGAUUCGUUUGUUUGGUAUCUGAUUGGCAUUGAUAUAUAUAAGUUUGACGAUAUUGAGAGGAACGACCAAGAUAUUAAAUCCAUUUUUUUGUACACUUUUGUGAAUUGGGCUAGGGUAUAUAUAAAGGAACACACUUUCUCUUUGAUAGAUUUUGUAGAUUGGUUAGCCACCACUUAAGGGUGAGGUUUGUUCGUCCUUUGGUGUUUUGCUUCUUUGUAUCUUGGUAUAUUCCGUGUAUACUCUUUCCUUUGCCUUUUGGCCUUUAAUGAAAAUACUUUACUUAUCAAAAAAAAAAUAUGAGUUUGUUUCAUACUUGUUAUUGAGCUAACCAUGUUUCCCAUUGAAACGCUUAUCUUGCUAUCUAGGUAUGAUUUCUAUCGUCCUACUUUCAAAUUUUCUUUAAUACACAUGACAUUGUGAAUUAUAAUCUUUGUUUGAUGCCAUGUUUGGUCACCUUGAUAUUUGUUCGAUUAUCUUUGACAAAAAUAUAUGUUGCAUGCCGUAUUUCUGAGCUAAUUUUGAUGUCUUGUGAUAAUGCUUAAGAAGUAGUCCAAGUACACACCUUAACUCCUUUUUAUGAUUGUGAUUUGAUUUCUUAUUUCACAGGCUAGUUUUGAAAUCACUUUAGUCCACCUAGGUAUCCUCAAUCAACUGACUAAUUGUCAUAUUUACUUCAACUUAGCUAGUAGAGAUCUCUUUAAGGCUUAGAAGGGUGCUACCUCUUUGAGGUGCCUUCCUAAUAGGUAAUCUGAUCCCCGGACCUAGACUCGGGCUUUUUUGAAGACGUGUUUUUCCAAAACUAUGGAGUCAUUUUUUGAGGGUUUUCUUUAUUAUUUUAUUGUUUUAUUUUCUAUAAAAAAAAUGUUAUAUAUUUAUUAAUUGAAUAAGGAAGGGAAACACACUUCCUUUUAUAGAAAAACUACAACAAAUCAAACUAAAUACAACUGUACACCCAAAUUUCUAGGAACAAAAUAAAUUUAAAAUAUACAACUUAUCCCUAAAAAAACAACAACAAAUUAUCCCUAAAAAAUAGGUAACAACCAAAUUAUCCCAAAAAAUAGGUAACAACCAGAUCAGAAAGAUUCUGAUAUGAUUGAGAUUUUCAACACUCCCCCUUAAGCUGGCUUGAAGAUGUCAUUCAUGGCCACCUUACUUGCUAAAUCAUCAAACUGCUUAUUUGGCAAGCUAAUCAAUUGUUGAAUACCUUGAAAAGAUGCCUUGUUUUGGACCUAUUAUCAUCAUUAUGAAAUCUAGUACUAAGUGAGUUUUUUUUUUUUUUUUGAUAUGUAAAGCAAGAUAUAUUAAUGAAGAGGCGGAAAGUUACAAGUAUACAGGGGGUAUACAAAGCAACAACCCCAUCUCAAAGCAACAACCCCCUCUCAAAGCAAAAAAUAAGAACAUCAAGGCUCACCACCCCUUAGUUGGACGCAAACCAUUUCAAGAACCCUAUAAGGGACACACGCUCCUCACCAAUAUACAAUCUAGCCCAGCUCCACAAACUACAAACAAAAGAAUUCUUGAACUUUUGGAUAUCUAACACUCCUCCCUUAAAAGCUAGCCUAUUUCUUUCCUUCCAAAUCGUCCAAAAAAUACACAACGGUAUGGAUUUCCAUAUCCUUUUCCUUUUCUUUCCCACAAAAGGGCCCCUCCAGCUAGUUAAGACCUCCUUUACAGUUUCUAGAAAAACCCACUGCACACCUGAUAACCCAAGAACAAUAUCCCACAGAACUCUGACCACUAUACAAUGAAUAAAAAUAUGAUUUACAGUUUCUUCUUCACAAUCACAUAGAAAACAACAAUUAGGAAGCUGUCAUCCUCUCUUUUCUGAAGCCUAUCAAGAGUGAGCACCCUCCCCCAUGUAGCCUCCCAAGCAUAGAAUGCAACCUUGGUUGGUACUAAAUCCACCCAAAUGCAUCUAGAAGGAAAAAAAAUAACAUUGGGUCUGCCCACCAAUCUAUAAGCUUCUUUGACCCUAAAUUUUCCAUUCCUUCUUCCCUUCCAACAGACUGAAUCUUCCUCCAUAGAGGGCUUGUAAUCCCUUAGAACAUGUAGCAAGUUCCCUAUCAUAUCCAUCUCCCAAUCAUUAAAAUCCCUCAAAAAUCUUAAAUUCCACCCCCCUUGACCAAAAUUCUGAUCCCACAUCUCCUCCACCGUCGCAAUCCUAUGAGAAGCCAUAGCAAAUAGGUGGGGGAAAUUUUGGGACAGCCUUGUACCAUUACGCCAAACAUCAAUCCAAAAAUUGAUUUUGCUUCCCUUCUCAACUAUGAACCCCGUGUUAUCCCAGCACCAAUCAGUUUCCUUCCAGAUUUCCUUCCACACCCCCACGCCGAACGCCCCAUGAGCCCUCUUUGCUCUCCAACCAUGACCUUCUUGCCCAUAUUUCGCUGUUAUCACUUGCUUCCAAAGAUUAUCUUUAUCAUAAGCAAAUCUCCAAAUCCAUUUACCAAGCAAAGCUUUGUUCAAGAGCACUAUGUCACAGGAUGCUUCAAAUGACCCUCCCCAUGGGCUUAUAUAGAAGGAGGGAAGCUUCUGGAGACUCCUGGAGCCAUCUACACUAAGUCAUUGGUGGGAAGAGUGUGGAAGGUUCUAGAAAUGCCUAGAGAUGUCCACACAUCUCUACACUAUGGUGGAAGGCAUGGGAGGAGUCCAAGGCUUUCUAGAGACUUCUAGGAAUCUCUUGUAUAUUCUUGUACAUAGGGUUGUACAUAGAAUAGGGUAGGAUGUUCUAGAAUAUUCUUGAUUUGUAAGGGAACCCUCCAAGGUUCUAGAGAGUUCCCUUGGUGCCUAUAAAUAGGUGAGGGCCUCAUUUGGCCAAGGACCACCCAAAUCACUCCCUAACCAAGCAAGGGAGCAUCCAAGCACUUGUAAAGGCUUCCCUGAGUAAUAGAAAGCUUCCAUUCUUUAAGGAGUUGCCUACCAAGCUUCUUAAGCUUUUGAGUCGCGAGUGUCUUAGCCGGGUGAGCUAAGUAUUGGGAGCAAGGCUGACUUAGCAAGAUCAAGUGUCUUGGCUUGUCUAAGUGCCGCACGAGCUUAGUGAACGACUAAGUCCGUGACAAGAGCACUAGCUUCCUUAAGCCAAGUCCUCCCUUGCUCUUAUCCUCACAAAUCGCCUCCCACUUGAUUAGAUGAGCUUUCCUUUCCACACUUCCCCCUCCCCAAAGGAAAUCUCUUUGAACUUUAUCUAAUCUCCUAGCCACUGACUUAGGCAUCCGGAACAAAGACAUGUGAUAGAUUGGCAUGCUAGCCAAAGUGCUUCUUAUGAGAGUGAUUCUCCCCCCUUUUGAGAUAUAUUGUCGUUUCCACCGCGCUAGUCUCCUCCUCACUUUCUCCUCCACCCCAUCCCAAACUGAAGGGGCUUUGUUAGGAGCCUCUAAUGGCAAGCCCAAGUAUUGAGAAGGCGGUGAGCCCACCCUACAUCCUAAUUCCACUGCCAUUUCCUCAAUCUCUUCCACCACGCCAACUGGGAUAAUUUCACUUUUGUCCAAGUUAAUCCUUAGGCCUGAAGCUGCUUCAAACCACAAAAGAAUCCAGCUCAAAUGUGUUAGGCUCUUUGUUAGCCUCACAGAACACGAUUGUAUCAUCAACAAAGAAGAGAUGAGAGAUUUUUAGAUUGUGUCUCCUAUCACCCUGAAUACUGCAACCUGAGAGGUAGCCCCCCGCAACCGCCCUCCUAAUUAGGGCAUCUAGCACUUCCAUUCCCAAGACAAAGAGGUAAGGAGAUAAUGGAUCCCCUUGACGAAGCCCUUUAGAACUCAGGAAGAAUCCAGCUAGAACCCCAUUAACUAGAACUGAAAACUUGGCUGAAGAUAUACAACUCCACAUCCACCCCAACCACUUCGAGCCAAAUCCCAUUUUGUGUAGUGUCUUCAACAAGAACUGUCAAUUGAUGCUAUCAUACGCUUUCUCAAUAUCCAACUUACAAAUGAGCCCUUUCUUUUUUCUUUUCUGCCACGAGUCUAUCACCUCAUUCGCAAUUAAAGAAGCAUCAAGGAUUUGUCUUCCCAUCACAAAUGCAUUUUGAGUUGGGGCUACCACUUUGUUUAACACUCUCUUAAGUCUAUUAGCUAACACUUUAGCCAUCAAUUUGUAUAGCCCCCCCAGGAGACUAAUGGGUCUAAAAUCUCCCAAAUCAGCCGCUCCUCCUUUCUUAGGAAUCAGAACCAGAAAAGUGUUAUUGAGACUUUUGAGAAAAGAGCUUUGCUCAUGGAACUCCUUAAACAUCUCCAAGAUCUCCCCUUUCACAAAACCCCAACAACUUUGCCAAAACGCCAUAGUAAAGCCAUCCGUCCCAGGGCCUUUAUCCCCACUCAUCUCCAUUAAAGCUGAAUGAAUCUCAUAUUCAGAUAACGGAAUCUCAAGAUUCUCUACUUCUUGCUGGCUAAUUUGAUCUAAUUGGAUCCUCUCAAUAUCCGUCUUCCACCCCAAGUCUUUUGACAGCCUCUGUUGAUAAGCAUUUGCAAUUCCUUCCCUUACCUCCUGUUCCUCUACCAGCCAAACCCCAUCAAUUUUAAUUCUGUCCAAAGAGUUAUUGUUACGAUGGGCAUUCGCCAUCCGAUGAAAAAAUCCCGUAUUUUUAUCCCCUUCUUUAAGCCAUACCUCCCUUGAGAGUUGUCUCCAAUGACUUUCUUCCAAAAUGACCCAUUUUUUAUAGCUUUCCUUUGCUUCCUUUUUUAAUUCUGUCUCUUCCAAAGACAAUCUUUUUUCGCUUUCCACACGGUCUCAAAAAUCCACUUGCUGCAGAGCUGCACUUUUGUUACCUUCCAGAUUUCCAAAGACCUCUCUAUUCCAAGCUUUUAGUUUCUAUUUGAGCUCCUUCAUCUUUGCUACCAAUCUAUAACUAGCAGUGCCUCUGACCUCAAUUUCCCUCCACUAAUUCCGAAUAAGGUCUAUAAAACCCUCAACUUUUAACCACAUGUUUUCGAACCUGAAGGGAGAUGGACCUCUCCUUAGCCCGCCUCCUUCUAGAAGAAUGGGAAAGUGGUCAGAAACAGGACGAGGCAGCCUUCUUUGAAUCACCCCACUAAACUGAUCUAGCCAGCUAGGAGACACCAAGAACCUGUCCAAUCUUGCCCAGGUUUGGUUAUUAAGGCCCCCGCUCCAAGUGAACACUCCUCCUUGCAACGGGAAAUCUACCAGCCCUAAAUCAUCAAUAAUAUGAGCAAACCUCUUCAUGGUCGGGGUUAUUCUCCCUUGGCGGCUUCUUUCUCUUUGAAAGAGGGUACUAUUAAAGUCACCCCCUAGGCACCAAGGCUCGUCCCAGAUUCCUCUUACAGCCCCAAACUCUUCCCACAGACAUUCUCUUUCCUCUUUGGUGAAUGGGCCAUAGACUCCCGUAAACACCCAAACAACCCCAUCUUCCACAUUCUUGAAUCUACACGAGAGAGAGCACUGUCCCUCCUUCCAAUCCACAAUUUCCAACGACCUUUUAUCCCAGCAAAUCAACAACCCUCCCGUUGCCCCAUCUUCAUCCAAAGCCCUCCAAUCUAAGAAUCUUCCCGAGCCUAAACUUCUCACCACCCCCUCCUACAUUGGCUGAAUUUUUGUCUCCUGAAUACACAGUAAGUCAACAUUUUGAUUCCUUAUAAAUGUCUUGAUAAUUUUCCUCUUGGACCUGUCAUUUGCCCCCCUCACAUUCCAACUUAACAGCUUUAGCUUCAUUAAUCUACUGCAAGCUAAUCCCCUUUGCCCUGUGAAAGGCUUUUUUGCUUACACCCCUUCUCAUAAUUAACUGAGCACUCCAGUCUCUUCAAUUCCCUUUCAAAUUUUGACUUCUCCAUCAAUUCUUUGCUGUGAAUUCUCUCCCGUCUCUUUCUUAUUUUGAUCAAGAAGUUCAAAAUUUCCUUUUCCAACCCUUCUGUUGAAAAGCCCAAAAAAUGACUAAACUUGGCCAAGCUGCUUUCUUCCCAUCUAUCCUCUUUCUCAGUUCUGACCUCUUGAAGUUCUGUCCUCUCCGAAUUCCACUCCACCCCCCUAGCCAAAUUAGGGUCCUUAUUAAAUUAUACCAAGUCCCAGCAUCCAUUGCCAUCCAUUCCGGGGCCAACUUCAUUACUUUCCCCUAGCACCCCAGAGUGAUCGAAAGGCUCCCCCUCCGGAGUUCGAUCAAAAGAAUACAAGAUGAAAUGAGAAGACCCAUAGUCCCUUUCCCUCUCUAUCCUUAGUCCAUAAUCAUACCUCAUGGCUUCCUCUGCCAGCGCCUUGUCUGUUGCUGAAAGUAUAGCUUUCUCCCUUUUCUUCCUUGUUUCCUCUGUCUCCCAGAUGACUAGGUGCUCUCCCUCUAAAGAACUCCCGUUGCUAGCAAUUCUGCAGUCCAGAAGACUUCCUUUCUCCAGGGGUCUUUUACCUUUGUUUUGGGCCAUGGACUGACUUGGUCUAGCCUCUUCCAUCUCAGCCAUUGGGCCUCUCCCAUCAUGAGCCCAUCUUUUAGGCUGGCUAGCCUCUGGUCCAACAGGGAUGGUCACUCUUUCCUUUAAUGUCAGGCCCCUCACUGCACUCAGCCCACAUGGGCUCUUCUUUACCCCCCUUAUCAUUGACGCCUGGGCCUGGUCUGCUUUUCCUUUCCAGCCCAAGUUACUCUCCUGCCCGCCCAGCCUCUUAUCUGAAUUUAUCAUCUCCUCGGGCCGUUCAAAGAUUGACUCUUGGGCCGUGGGCUUAAUUAGUCUGGCCCCAUUCAUCAAACAGCCAUCCCUGUCAAAAGCCCAGCUCUUGGAUGGCCCAGCCUCUGGCCCCGUCCCUUCUUCCACCACUCCCUUUAACUUUAGGCCCGAAGGUUUCGGCCCACAGACCCUUCUCUCAUAACCCAUGGGUGCUGAUUGUUGGGCCCGGUCAACUAUCCCCUCCCAGCCCAUAACCCUCUUCUGUCUCCCUGUCCCCUUAUAUGACGAUAGCAACUCCUCGGGCUUUUCAAUGGCCGAUUCCACCUCCACGCGCGAGCCGGAGCGUGAGAUGUUGUCAUCCCUAACUUCCCCCCAUUUUCGGCUGUCAACCCUAACCUUCUUGACUGACGGCCUGAGCUCCCACCAGAGGGUGAGUGUGACAGCUUCCUCCUCGAUCCCAAUCUCCAGCGUACUCGGUUUAGCUCCACCGUCCGUCUUAACUAGAAUCCUAGCCCAUUGGAGCUCUUCCAGCUUCUCCGUCUGCGAAUCGAUGUCAAUGAAACCACCGCAUUCAUCCCCCACCCUUCUCAACACAGUCGGGUUCCACAACGACACUGGUAGUCCAAAGAUUCUAACCCAAACUUCAUUACUUUGUUCCUCCUCCUCCCUGCAUCCACUCCUUGGGCUCCAUUUCUCAAAGCUCAGCCUGGUACUAAGUGAAAGUUAGUUAACUAAUUUGAUCACUUGGAUGAUAAACUAGACAUAUAGAAGAUGUUUUCUGAAAAUUUUCAUGAUAAAACUUGAUUAGUAGAUAUUUGUUUUAGAUUUACGUUGUAGAGUCCUCUGUUAUGAUCAUUUGCUGAUUUUUCUGUGAAGUAACCCACUUGUGAAUAAAUUUGAUAUUAGUUGGAAUAUAAUUAAUUAACUAGGUCAAUGGAUGAAUGAUCUUUGUUGUUUCAUGGUUUAGAAUUGAAUUUAGAUUUGAUUUAACCUAAGUUUUUACUUAAUAAAAGCUAUUUGAUAAGCCUAUGAUAAUUGGCUUUGAAAUCAUCAUUUUUAUUUUGAUUUGUGAGGAUUUGAUUUUAUGUAUUUUUGUUUAGUUAAUUCUUGGGAAUCCGUAUUUCAUAAUUCACAUACAUGCAUGUUACUUAAAUAGGAAAUUGUAUGAUUUAAUUGGAUACUCACUUAGGGCUCUUUAGGCAUUUAUUUUAGCGUUUAAUUCAAGCAUAAUUAAUCAUCUAUACAGCUUUAAAUUUGUUCCAUGUGUUAGAUUACAAUUAGCUUAUGUUUUUUUAUCUAUGAUUUGAUAUACAUAUAAUAUUUAAAUUGUUGAUCUUAUAUUGGAUUUAUUUAGGAAUCUUUCGAUAUUGGGAUUUGAAAUCAAAAUAGAAUACAAUAAACCACUUAAAUGACUGCAAGUUUAGUUCAUACAAUAAGUCAUAAUUCAUACAUUGGAUUGCCUAAUUCUAGUGCACACACACACACACAAACACACACAUUUUUUUUAGGUGCUUUCUAGUGGUUCUCAAUUCCCAUAUGUUUUAAUGAUUUUAAAAAAAUGUUUUUGAUUGCUCUAAAUUGUCAAAGUUCUAUAUUUAAAUUAAUCUUAGAUCAAUUAGGUAAUGAAAAGUUUACUUUCUAAAAGACAAUGCUACCUAUUUUAUUUAGUAUGCAAUUUUCAAAAGUUUUAAAAAGGAAUUUAAGUUCUAAAAAUGAAUUUUGGUUUUGAAUACACAUGAAUUAAAAUUCAUAACUUCAAUCAAUGGAGUCUUUAUGGAUGAAUUCAUGGAAAUUAAAAUGGGAUUUGAUGGAUCCCUACCUACAAAGUUUUCCAAAAUAUGGUCUACUAACAUUGUUGAUAGUUCAUUAUACCCUUGAACUUGUAAAUGAGAAUCCGAGCAUUUAGAAACUCUUCAAAAAUUUUCUAAUUAUUCCAUGGUGUUGUAAAGUUCUUGAAUUUGAUUUUAGUAUUUUGUUUGAGGCAAAAAUAAUUCCCCAAUUAGAAAAUAUAAAUCAAUAUUUCAGAAAGUACGGUUUUCAGUCUAUUUUUGACACUCAGUUUUGUUUUCAAAAUUAAAUUACUAAACAGUCCUCUUUAAUUCCUUUAGGCAUUUUUACCUUAAUCUCGACUUCCCAAAUUUAAUUUUUUAUACCUAAAAUAUUAUAAAUGAUUUCUAAAAUGAGAGAUAUAAUUUUUUUUCUUGCACCUACUACACAAGUGCUCUCUUGGAGUUGAGAGAUGUUUACUUAUUUUUAAAUAUGUUAUAAAUGUGAUAUUGCCCUGUGAUUAUUUUUCAUUUUAAAUAGAUAAAUCAAGCUAGUUUUCUGAAAUUUGUAUGAUUUUAGGAUAACUCUAAAUUAAUUUAAAAAAAUCAAUUGUUGAAUACCUUAAAAUGAUGCUCUGUGCUAGACCUAUUAUCAUCAUUAUGAGAUCUAGUGCUAAGUGAGAGCUAGUGAAUUAAUUUGAUAACUUGGAUGAUAAAAUUUUCAGAGACGUUCUUUGAAAAUUUUCAUGAUAAAACUUGACUUCUAGAUAUUUGUUUUAGAUUUUUUUUGUAGAGUCCUCUAUUUUGAUUAUUUGCUGAUUUUUCUAUGAACCAACCCAGUUGUGAAUAAAUUUGAUAUUAGUUGGAAUAUAAUUAAUUAAUUUGGCAUUUUGGACGGUGAUUUGAAUAUGUUAAAGAUGUUAACAUAUGACAUUGUUGUCUGUGAACUAAUCUUCUUGUUUUAUGGAAGCGCUUAACAAACUAUAAGGGUACGUUCUUCACUUUCUGUGAUUAUUCCUUAUUGAGAGUUCAUGUUUUAACAUAUACUUGGAUGAUAAACUAGACAUAUAAGAGACGUUCUCUGAAAAUUUUCAUGAUAAAACUUGACUUCUAGAUAUUUGUUUUAGAUUUAUUUUGCAGAGUCCUCUAUUUUGAUCAUUUGCUGAUUUUUCUAUGAAGCAACCCACUUGUGAAUAAAUUUGAUAGUAGUUGGAAUAUAAUUAAUUAAUUUGGCAUUUUGGACAGUGAUUUGGAUAUGUUAAAGAUGUUAACAUAUGACAUUGUUGCCUAUGAACUAAUCUUCUUGUUUUAUGGAAGUGCUUAACAAACUAUAAAGGUACGUUCUUCAUUUUCUGUGAUUAUUCCUUAUUGAGAGUGCAUGUUUUAACAUAUACUUGGAUGAUAAACUAGACAUAUAAGAGACGUUCUCUGAAAAUUUUCAUGAUAAAACUUGACUUCUAGAUAUUUGUUUUAGAUUUAUUUUGUAGAGUCCUCUAUUUUGAUCAUUUGCUGAUUUUUCUAUGAAGCAACCCACUUGUGAAUAAAUUUGAUAUUAGUUGGAAUAUAAUUAAUUAAUUUGGCAUUUUGGAUAGUGAUUUGGAUAUGUUAAAGAUGUUAAAAUAUGACAUUGUUGCCUAUGAAUUAAUUUUCUUGUUUUAUGGAAGCGCUUAACAAACUAUAAAGGUACGUUCUUCACUUUCUGUGAUUAUUCCUUAUUGAGAGUGCAUGUUUUAACAUAUACUUUGAUCCAUGUUAUCCACUAAUUUACCCAUUAAUUUCCAUAAUGACUUCAACUUACUUAGUAGAAACCUAACUUUUAGGGCUUAGAGGGGUGCUAUGAUUGUUCGCUGUAUCUUCCCAAUAUGUAACUUGAUCCGUUGACCCAACAUGGUUUUCACAGACUUGUCUUUUCUUUCAGGAGUCUCAUUUAAGAUUUUUCUUCCUUAUUUUGUUUGCCUUUUAAAAACUAAAACAAAACUAAGUGGCGACUCCAUUAUUUAAAAAAUUAGUUUUUCACAAACAAAAAGCAAGUCUCACCAUCAAGUGGGAACACAUGGGAAAAUGCGGGAUUACAAAGUGGCGACUCCAUUGGGGAUCAUAAAGGGUCAAACUUGAACAUAGGUUAAAGUAAAUGUGGAGUUUGAUUGAUCGAUUAGUGGAUACCCUUCUUUGUGCCUUUGUAUGAUUGAGUGGUUAAUGACACAUUGAAGAUUUUUUUUAUACUACAAGUAUCUAUGAUGCAAAUUAGAUUAUGAUGUUUACUUAUGAUUGAUUCAUUUGUCUAUUGUGUUUGUCUUGACAUGAUUUCGUUAUACUCUUAUCGCAUGAUUAUUAUACCAUAACAUGAUGAUUGAUCUAGCCAUAUGUUUUAUUAGAUUAUCAUAUUUUGGUUAAUUCAAAUACAUAGAUGGAUGAUUUAUACCUGUAUUGCUUGGCUGAUUGUUGCAUGACUAUCUUUCUCCUGUUUGAUGCAUGAUUGUUUGUCUAUGUUUUAUUUUCUUGCUUUAGAUGAUAGGUUUUUUUUGGAUGCACCCAAAUCUUUCACUGUGCACAUUAGAUCGUCUUUGAGUGAUUGAGAGUUGUGAGAUGCGUUGACCAGUAGGAGAGCCUUCACCAUAGGAAACUCCUUGGGAUGUGAAGAAGUGCAUGUGUGGAGGGGAUGACCACCUUGCAUGGAAGCACCCCGUUUCUUUGGAGGUGUGUAGAGGGUUGCUUACCAUUGGAGGGUACAAUUGCUUCUGCUAGGGAUUCCCUUAACCCAACCACUUAUUUUUUAGAGCCCACUUUGUCCUUAUAGAUUGUGCUUAGAUCCUUUUAUUAGGGAUUUCCAUCUUACACAUGGGUGCAUCUGAAGGCCUUCAAAGGUUACUCUAAUCACAGUUAGGAUCCAAUACUCCCUCCAUUUGGUUUCUUUCUAGAAUGUUAAGAGUUUAGUGGUUUUUUGAGUUUCAAUGGACCACCUUGUUGUGUUGUAUUGGUUUUUUGCCUAUUGUUCAAAUCAGAGUACUUUUUUCGUGCUUCUCUUGUGUUGUACCUUAUUCUGUUCUCUCCUUCUUGAGUUGUUGUCACUCCACUUGAUACUUUAGGAUGUGCUCAUCGAUCGUGAUCACCUUUUUACAUCCUACACCUAUCAUGGGCCUGAUGAUUUAUCCUUUGAUUGAUUCACUUGAUUCUAUUUUUAACAUGAUGCUUAUCAUUUUCAUUAUAGAAAGGUAAAAGAUUUGUUUUCACAUUCAUACAUUUUUUUAAGGUUUCGCCUUGAUCACCUUAUCAUUUUCUUUAUGGAGCUUGGGUUGAAAGUGAAUUAGGUAUGUCUUGUUAUAGAUAGAGUAUUGGUCUCGUGAUAGUGUUGUUCUUCACACCUCACUCAUUUUUUGGAUUAUUGAUAGAAAUUCUUUAGUCACAUUUGUAGCCAUUCACAGUGGACCCUUAUGACUUUAGAGUCUCUAUCAUACAUCCAGAUUUUGAUUAUCAUCACAGGACCACACAUCAUCUGUUGUGAUAGACUUUUAGACUUAAGCCAUCUCAUCACUUGCAUAUUGUGAUUUUGAGGUUUGAUCCAUCAUUGAGGACAUUAAGCUUUUUGACCUUGGACCAGGAGCCCGACCUUAAAAAUUCAAGAUUGUGACUCAUCUAUCUUAUGAUCAAAGUAGUACCUACCCAUUUCCACAUCUUCUAUUCUUGUGUGCCCACCUAUUCUGAGCCUUAUGUAGCAUCUCCCCUCACCCCAUUAUCACUUGACCUUUCCAUCCUUCCAUAUCCUUGCAUAGCACCAUCACCCGUUCCUUUUAUCCCUUUUUUGACUUGACCAGGUAGAGUUUGAGGAGACUAGACUGGAGAUGAGCUUUGCAUGAUGAGGGGAUGAUCGGUGGAUUAUGACGAGAGUAGUUAGAUCACUUUAUGAGAUCACUAAUUACUAUUUGGGUGAGAGGAUCAUCUUUGAGAUCAUUGUGGAGGAUCCAGAUUAGACCCUUAUGCAUGAUUUCAGGAGGUUGGCAUGACUUUAGAGGUUGAUCUUCCAUGAUGACAGUCGGAUUGUGAUGAGAGGUUGUGGUUGAUGAGAUCAUUGUCUAUUUUGCCAUUGAGAGGGCCAUCUUUGAGAUCAUUGCGGAGUAUUCAGAUUGGUGGUCUGUUGAAGUGAGGAAAACUACAUUGAUCCCCAAAUCGAAUCUCAUGACCUGGAUUCAGAAUCUGCAGUAUCGUUAGGGUCAUUGACAAUGGCAAACCUUAAUUCUUCAUUGCUUC
rnacentral:lncRNA from 1 species